CGAUGCAUUUUCGGUGUUAGAAGUGAUGAGAUGCAUUCAAUUGGGGCUUCUCUGUACGCAAGACCAUGCCACAGAUAGACCCAACAUGUUGGCCGUGGUUCUAAUGCUGAAUGGGGAGUCCAAUCUUUCACAGCCAAAGCAACCGACCUAUACAUUUUCACGCUCGCUGGCUCACGAAGUCCCAUCACAAGAAGAAAGCAUCCGGUCCAUGAAUACCAUCACCAUUACUACGGUUGAAGGAAGAUAAAAUUCUCAAAUGCAUUUUCACUAUAAUUCAUCUUUCCAGGGGUUCAGUGUUCACCAAAUUAAGCAGCUUGGAUAUGCAAUAUUUUGUUCAACUUUUAUGUGGAUAUAUGAUGUAAACAUAGAGAUUGUGAGGGAAUCUGAGUUGCUAGCUCCCUAGUAGAACAGUGUUAUGUGGGCAAGGAUGCAGAAAAGUUCAGAACAUAUGUAAGCAGAAGUGUUAGAGCUUUUUUUUUAAAGAGGAUUUGAUAGUUAAAUUUUCGCCUAAAAGAUUAUUCAUGCAUUUGAAAUUUUCAAGGAUCAAAUUCUCUAUCAGAUGACAAAAUUUGACCCCGAGGAAAUACUGCAAUCGCACACCAUUUUGCAUUGACAUUUUUAUCAGCACAUCUCUACAAUUAGAAACUAGGGACAUUGUAGUCUUAGUAUCUUGGCCCCUAUGUCAAGAGAUAGGCUUCACAUAUGCAUUUCAUAAAGAUUAAGUAUCAAAUACAUUAAUAAUGGCAAUGAUCAACCCCUAACUAAAAUCAUUGACAUAGCUUCAUCAUGCAUCCACAUUUCUCUUUGCAUUUAUUUUGCACAUAGUAAUAGAGCAUUAUAAUUUAUCAUAUUAGACUCGGCAGCAAAAACUUUGAUCAACAAAGGUGCUAGAGCUCACAGGCAGAUCGAACCCACACCAGGACUCAACCUUUUUCUUUUUUUAAUUUGUGGCAGCUUCUCCUGCUUGGUUCAAGGCUCAAACUGUUGGAGAAAUCUUUCCAGAAUAUUUUGAAGCUGACAAAACAUUUCUAUCAGUCUAAGUCUGGAUAUCGAUAGUUAAAGUCUCAAGAUUUUAUAGUCUCAAGACUUUGUUAUCUCAAGACUCAAGACUCAAGACUCAAGACUCAAGACUCAAAAUUAUUCUCACUGACAGUCUUUCUAAUCCAGUGUUGAAGGAAAUCCAAAGUCGAGGUUUAUGAUUGAGGAUUUGAUCCUAUCCUCUGGGAUAGAUUCUUUGGUUGGAUAAUCAUUUCGGAUUCUUUAAAUCUUAUCUAAGAUCGAUUGAAGAUCCGAUGGUCGACGAAAUAAUCUUGGAUUAUUCUAUUCUUGGAAACCGAGAUCCUGAUGUAUGGGCGAACAGGAUUGAUGGGCUAUCAUCAGAUUCCUAUAUAGCUCGGAUGAUCUUCUUGAUUGAUUCCGUCCAACGGGUAGAUUGGAGGAAUUCCUUUGGUAAGUGCCAACGGCUAUGAUGGCAUGAAGGAGUAUAAAAGGAAGACGUUCUAGUUGUUUUAAGUGUGUGAACGAUAGAAAAAUUCCAGAGUCUGAAGAUCCUUUGAUUGUUAGUUGAGACUGAGCGAAAUUGUAUACUGAGAGUGUUUAUACUUGGUGACGCCUUGAGCGAGUGUGGUAGAUCAUCUACACCUAGAAAUCAAGGAAGAUCAACACUGUAACAACUCUUUGAUCAUAGUGGAAUCCAGCCAAUCGGCUGUCAGUGCAGAAGAGUGGACGUAGGCUUGAAUCAAGCCGAACCACUAUAAACUGAGUGUUCAAUUCUCUCUUUCCCUUACUCAGUCUUGCGAUUGAAUUUUCAACUGUUGCAAAGUCUCUAAUUGUUUAAAUAUCGUGCAAACAUCGAGAAAUUUUUUGUGUAUACUUAUUCACCCCCCUCUAGGUACUCGUACUAGCUAUCUCAAUUGGUAUCAGAGCCUGUGUUCUUACUUUGUUUGAAGUGUUUUACUUCAGAGUAAAAGAUCCAUGGCUAGUAUGCUAGCACCGGGGCUGAUGGAGGGGCAAAGCAAUACCAGACCUCCCUACUUCGAUGGAAAGGAUUACAACAUCUGGAAGAACAAGAUGAAAGCUUUCCUACGAUCAAAGGAUCCUCUGGAAUGGGACGUAGUGGAAAAAGGAAUCACUCCUGCUGCUGCAUCAAUCACUGAAAGAGGAAAAGAAACCGUUGAAACCAGCGAAAUGUCUCAAGAAGAAAUAAACAAGAGACAAGCACUCGAUGCUAAAGCAAUUUAUUCUUUAUAUUGUGCUUUGUCACCAACUGAAUAUAACAGAAUAUCUUCUUGUGUCACAGCAAAAGAAGUCUGGGACAGGUUACAUAUCACUUAUGAAGGGACAGAUCGAGUGAAGGAGACCAGAAUUAACAUUCUUCUUGGUCAAUAUGAAUCCUUCAAAAUGAAACCAGGAGAAUCUAUAACUGACAUGUUUAGUCGUUUUACAGAUAUUGUCAAUGGUCUUGAGAACCAAGGACAAAAAAUUUCUGAUCCCAUGAAGGUGAACAAGCUUCUACGUGGACUCUCCAAGGAUUGGAAUCAUAUAAAGACUUCAAUAAGAGAGACGCAAAGAAUCAUGCCAUUAUCUGUAGACGAACUGAUUGGAACUCUUCAGUCUUACGAAGUGGAACGAAUUAAUGAAGACGAAGAUCCAAGAGGUAAGAAAUCUAUUGCACUAAAAUCAAAUGAUGAUUCUGAUGAUGCAGAUUCUGAAGAUGAUAUGAAUGAUGAGGAGCUCGCCCUCAUGAUAAGAAGAUUCAGAAAACUGAAUAGAAAAGGCAGAAGGUUCAUCCCAAAGAAACAAAGUUCUCAGAGACAGCAGACCAAGUCUGUUGAUGAUGAGGAACCAAACAAAGAAGUAGUUUGCUUCGAAUGUAAAAAGAAGGGACACAUCAGACCCAACUGUCCUCUUCUGAAAAAGAAAAGAGGAAAAGCUGAGAAAUUUCGAAAAGCUCUUAAAGCCGAAACCUGGAGCGAUACAGAGUGUGAAGAGAGUGAUGAGGAAUAUGCCAACCUGUGUCUAAUGGCGCAAUCAGACUCAGACUCUGGAUCAGACUCAGACAGUGAAUUUGAGGUAAGUAAUUAUAAAAUCCCUGUCAAAGUCUCUAGACAGCGGAUGCUCAAGACACAUGACAGGAGACUCAGAGUGUUUCAUAAAGCUUAUUAAAGUGAAUGGUGGAAAAGUUUCAUUCGGAGGAAAUAGCAAAGGAAGUAUUGUGGGAUUCGGAAUUGCGAAAAUUGGAAAUCUCACAAUAAGCAAUGUCUCUCUAGUGGAAGGACUCAACUACAAUCUACUCAGCAUUAGCCAAUUGUGUGAUACUGGUUACAAGAUCUUCUUUCAAGAAGGCAUUUGUUCUGGAAUUAGCAAAGAUUCGACUCAGUCUUUCAUGGGUCGAAGGCAUGGAAACAUCUACCUCCUUGAUGUAAAGCCAAAUGAAGAACAAUGCUUAAUUUCAAUUCAAGAUGAAGCAAUUCUAUGGCAUAGAAAGCUUGGCCAUAUCAACAAGAAGCAAUUAGCCAAAAUCUCUUCAAAGCAGCUUGUUCGAGGUCUACCUAAACUGCCAUACCAAAAGUCUGACUUAUGUACUCCAUGCAUUCUGGGAAAGCAGGUAAGAAAUUCAUUUAAACAAAUAAAUCAUGUAUCUACUAAUCAUGUAAUACAGUUGCUUCAUAUGGAUCUCUUCGGACCAACAAGAACCCAGAGCAUUGGAGGUAAGAAAUAUUGUCUAGUAAUUGUAGAUGAUUACUCUCGUUUUACCUGGGUAUAUUUUCUAGCAAACAAAUCAGAAACCUUUUCGUACUUUGAAAAGUUUGCUAAAAAGGUUCAAAAUGAAAAAGGAUGUGCUAUUUCUAGUAUAAGAACAGAUCAUGGAAGUGAAUUUGAAAAUCAAGAUUUUACGAGAUUCUGUGAUAAAUCUGGUGUUAAUCACAUGUUCUCCUCUCCGUAUACUCCAGAGCAAAAUGGAGUUGUGGAAAGAAAGAAUAGAUCUCUUCAAGAAAUGGCUAGAACACUUUUAAUUGAAAGUAAAAUUUCUUCACGAUUUUGGGCUGAAGCUGUUUCAACUGCUUGCUAUAUUAUAAAUAGAGUCUUUCUAAGACCUAUUCUUGAUAAAACCCCCUAUGAAUUGUUCAAAGGUAAGAAGCCUAUUGUUUCAUACUUUCAUGUGUUCGGUUGCAAAUGCUUUAUUUUGAAAAAUGCAAAUGAUCGAGUUGGUAAGUUUGAAGAAAGAUCAGAUGAAGGCAUCUUCCUUGGAUAUUCUACAUCAAGCAAAGCCUACAGAGUCUACAACAAAAAAAGCCAGUCUGUGGAAGAAUCAAUGAAUGUCAAAUUCCAAGACUCAGUGCAAGAUGAAUCCAGCCAGACUCAGUACGAAGAGACUGAAUCCGCUCUAGAUCUUCAAAUAUCUACAUCUCAAGAAGCAUCUCAGAUUCUGGAAGUCCAUCAUCAAGACGCUCAUGGAGAAUCAAAUAAAGAAAGAGAUCAUCAACCUGGUAACUGGAAGCACAAAUCCAGUCAUCCCAAAGAUCUUAUUAUUGGCGAACUUAAUGAAGGAAUCCGCACCAGAUCAAAAAGGCAUGAAGAAUCUAGUGCUGUGGCUCUCAUCUCUGAAAUUGAACCAAAAAGCAUAGAAGAAGCUUUAUCUGAUGAAAGCUGGAUCGAAGCUAUGCAAGAAGAGCUUAGACAGUUCAACAUCAAUGAUGUCUGGGAAUUGACAUCUAAACCAAAAGGUAAAACUGUUAUUGGAACCAAAUGGGUAUUCAGGAACAAAAUGAACGAAAAAGGAAAAGUCGUACGAAACAAAGCAAGACUCGUGGCCAAAGGGUAUACGCAAGAAGAAGGAAUAGACUAUGACGAGACUUACGCACCCGUUGCAAGGUUAGAAGCUAUUCGUCUAUUACUUGCGUUUGCUUGUUACAAAAAUUUCAGGUUAUUCCAAAUGGACGUCAAAAGUGCUUUCCUAAAUGGAUUUAUCCAUGAGGAAGUUUAUGUGGAACAACCGCCUGGAUUUGAAGACCCAAAGAAGCCAGACUCAGUCUUCAGACUGAAAAAGGCUCUGUAUGGUCUAAAGCAAGCACCUCGAGCUUGGUACGACAGAUUAAGUAAGUUUUUAUUACAAAAUGGUUUUGUCAAAGGUAAAGUAGAUACUACUUUGUUUAUCCAAAAGGAAAACAAAAACUUUUUACUUGUUCAAAUAUAUGUUGAUGACAUUAUUUUUGGAUCUUCUAAUGAAAGUCUUUGCAAGAAAUUUUCUAAGUCUAUGCAGGAUGAAUUUGAAAUGAGUAUGAUGGGAGAAUUAACAUUCUUUCUUGGACUCCAAGUGAAACAAAUGAAGGAAGGAACUUUCAUCCAUCAAGAAAAAUAUGCGAAUGAUCUUGUCAAAAGGUUUGGAUUGGAAAAAUGCAAAAAGAUCGACAUACCAAUGUCAUGUUCUCAGAAGAUAGACAAGGAUGAAGAAGGGAAGAAAGUAGAUCAAAAGCUGUACAGGAGCAUGAUCGGUUCACUUCUUUAUCUUACUGCUUCUAGACCUGAUAUUUUGUUUAGUGUUUGUAUCUGUGCUAGGUUUCAAUCAGAUCCUAGAGAAUCACAUCUCAUUGCCGUGAAACGAAUUAUCAAAUACGUUGCUUCAUCUUCAAGCAUCGGUCUUUGGUAUCCAAAGAGGGGAGACUUUAAUCUUCUAGGAUACUCAGAUGCAGAUCUGGCCGGUUGCAGAGUCGAUAGAAAGAGCACUUCUGGAACUUGUCAACUACUUGGAAACAGAACGGUGUCUUGGUUUUCGAGGAAACAAAGCACUGUAGCUCUUUCAACGACAGAAGCAGAGUAUGUAGCUCUUGGAAGCUGCUGUUCGCAAAUUCUAUGGAUAAAACAACAGCUACAAGACUUUGGCAUUGAAGACUCAUGCACAGAAAUCAGAUGUGACAACACCAGUGCUAUAAAUCUCACCAAAAAUCCAAUCCUUCAUUCAAGAGCAAAGCAUAUUGAGAUUCGACAUCACUUUAUUAGAGAUCAUAUUCAAAAUGGAGAAAUCUCGAUUCAAUUUGUUGAUUCAAAAAGUCAACUAGCAGACAUAUUCACAAAGCCUUUGGAGAAGAAUCAGUUUGACUUUAUCCGCUCAAGACUCAACAUUUUGAAGCUUGAAGAAGUUAAAGUCUAGAGACUCACCAACUCUAAGACUCUGAUCUCUUAGACUCUAAGUCCUGAGACUCAGACAUUCGUGGAUAAAGACUGUAAGUUGUAUUUCAUCUAAAAGGUACUAAUUGUCAUUUAGCCAAAAAGGUACGAUCUUUUGUUUAAUAAUUUUGGCAGUUAUCGAUUUUGAAAAGAAGUAAUCGUUCACUUUCCUUGCACCGAUUGAACUUCCUUUUUCAAAAACUGAGUUAUAUAUAUAUAGUUUUUUCCUUUCCCCAAUUUUCAAAACCCUAAAAAGCACUCUCCUCUCGAUACUGUUUCUACUCUUUGUUCAUCGUCGAGAAAGUGGUCAUUUUUCUUGGGAAAGCAAGUGAAGGAAUCCUCCAAUAGACAAAGAAAGAUGUCGUCUUCGAGGAAAUCAUCAAGAAUCGCAAACAGGGGACCACAAAGAAUGAAGAAGGGACCGACUCAUUUCGAUCUCACUGAGGAAGAAGACUUAUCUGGUCAGCGACAAAGUCCGAUUCGCUCUCCUCCACGUCAUUCAGCAUCUCCUGCCCCACAAAGUGCAAGUCAUAAUCUGGAAGAAGAGAUAAUCGAGGAUGCCGACCCAGUAAGAGUUCAAAAGCCCUCCUUUUUGUAUAAACUUUAUUGUGCAUUGAAAAGCACAGGUACUCCAUUGAACUACAUAGAUGACUUCCUUAAGGACAAAAAUUAUGGGAAUGAGUAUCUUUUUCUGAAGAAAAUGGAGGAAUGGGGAAUUGCCCCAAAAGGAAAAGCAGAGGAAGCACUUGCGAACAUUCCAAGAGAUCCUCGUAUGCCAAGACAAAAUCUGAUUGACGCGAAUGAUGAUGACAAAAUGUUCCUUGAAUUUGAACCUAGAAUGGGUGUGGCGGCAAAGGCGAAAGGAAAUCGGAUGGAUUUGUUUAAAUCCAAGGAUCAAGAAAAAGUGUAUUACAGUCUGUUGAAAAGAGGGGUAAUCAACCCUAGAAGUGUCGAUUUUGACUUCCUGGAUUCCAUCAACUUGAACCUAAGAGAGAAGUUGAAUUUGCUUCAACUUGAGACUUUCUGCUCUGACUCUACAGACGGGUAUGAUCAUCUGACUGCUUAUUUCUAUUCAAAUCUUAGCUUUUUGGAUGCGAAUAGAAUUUCAUUCAGUGUUUGAGACAAAGUCUAUGUGGUAGAUGUGAAUAUGUUGGCGGACAUAGUUGGAGUUGAACGGGGACGCUAUCUCCCAAUCAAAGUCUCACCUGCUCGAACUACUCUGGAUCUUGUCAAAGAUAGGGAUGUAGAUAAGAAAAUUAUCUAUUCCAAGAUGAAUGCUAUCAACAUUGUGCUUCACAAGAUUGUGAUCAAUUGUCUCAGACCUAAGUCUACUUCAAAGACUUCUGUGUCUCUUUCUGAAGCAAAGUUGAUGUAUGCGAUCAACUCAGGACGAAAGUUCUCUCUCCCGCACACUAUUCUUUUCCAUAUGUACAGAACAGUGUCCAAAGACAAAGGACAAUUGCCUUAUCCUGGUCUGGUGACCAAGAUCUUCAGACAUCUGAAUAUUGAACUGCCACAUACUUUUUGUGUUCGACCGUGUGAUAAGAUGGUGGUAGGGCUGAAAAUGUUAAUGAAGAUGCGUCUGCAAGAACUCUCUAAGGCAAUGGAGAAAUUCAAAGUGAAAUCUCCAGUCCAGUCUGCUUCAAAAGGAAAAGGAAAGAAGGCAUUUAGUGCUUCUUCGAAAAAGAGGAAAAGAACUCUUAUCCUGGAGGAUGAGGAUGAAGAUGAUGAAGAUCCCACUAUUCCAGCACUGACAAGAACAAGACGUUCUGUGUCUUAUUCGACAGAACUUCAGCAGAGCAGAGAAGAAGAAGAACAGAGAGAGAAGGAGAAAGAAGUUGAGGAAGAAGAAGAAGAAGUAAAAGAACAGUCUGCUGAUAAAUCUGGAGAGAAGGGAAAUCAAGAGAUUGAUCAUCACUCUUCCCCUUUCGAUGUCCUAGAGACAGGGGGAGUUAGCGAGCAAGAGAGGUCUUCACCUCAUGCUGCUGAAGAUCAAAGAAAAUCUCCAGAAGACCCAGAAGAAGUUCAGGUCUCUCAAUUGCCUGAAGAAGAUGAUACGACGAUUCCAAAUCUGCAAGACCGUUCAGAAGCGCCAUCGUCUGCACACACACCUUCUGAGAAAGCCAAUGCCAGUACACAGACGGAUGAUUCUGUAGAUCUUCGUAGUAUCAUGAAUAUUCUUCUGGAAAUGCGUAACCAGAUAUAUAUUCUGGAUUGUGAAAUCCAAGCCUUGAAGCAUGCUGGACAAGCAUCUUCAGUCUCUCUGGAAGAUAAAUACAAAGACCUCGCUCUACAACUUCAAGCCAAUGCCAAGAGAGAAGAGGUAGCUCAUCUGCGAGAAGAUCUGAAGAAGCUCGAAGGAGUAGUCCAGUCCAUUGGGGAUUUCCAGAUCGUGCGCAUUCCCAAGCAGACAUGACUCCUUUCUCACCCUCUUUUUAAUGAUGACAAAAAGGGGGAGAACCAAUUUGAACAAACAUUAUUUUAAAACUUUAUUUGACUUUUGUGUUUAUUUUUUGAGUAUGACUUGAGAACUUGAACUUGAGUGUUAGACUGAAUUGGUUGUGGAUUUUGAUGCUUGACUGGUUGCAUUUAUAUCAAGUAUUGUUACAUGGUAUUACUCAUGAAAGACUAACCAAUUUGCUGUGGAUGCAGAGUCUGGUUGUUUAUUAAUCUUUAUGAGUUAGCCAUAUUGCUUGAGAAAUGUUUUUGCAGGUCAAAGUUGUUCAAAUCUUCAAGAAAGUUUUGUCACCAUCAAAAAGGGGGAGAUUGUUGGAGAAAUCUUUCCAGAAUAUUUUGAAGCUGACAAAACAUUUCUAUCAGUCUAAGUCUGGAUAUCGAUAGUUAAAGUCUCAAGAUGCAGAGUCUGGUUGUUUAUUAAUCUUUAUGAGUUAGCCAUAUUGCUUGAGAAAUGUUUUUGCAGGUCAAAGUUGUUCAAAUCUUCAAGAAAGUUUUGUCACCAUCAAAAAGGGGGAGAUUGUUGGAGAAAUCUUUCCAGAAUAUUUUGAAGCUGACAAAACAUUUCUAUCAGUCUAAGUCUGGAUAUCGAUAGUUAAAGUCUCAAGAUUUUAUAGUCUCAAGACUUUGUUAUCUCAAGACUCAAGACUCAAGACUCAAAAUUAUUCUCACUGACAGUCUUUCUAAUCCAGUGUUGAAGGAAAUCCAAAGUCGAGGUUUAUGAUUGAGGAUUUGAUCCUAUCCUCUGGGAUAGAUUCUUUGGUUGGAUAAUCAUUUCGGAUUCUUUAAAUCUUAUCUAAGAUCGAUUGAAGAUCCGAUGGUCGACGAAAUAAUCUUGGAUUAUUCUAUUCUUGGAAACCGAGAUCCUGAUUGUAUGGGCGAACAGGAUUGAUGGGCUAUCAUCAGAUUCCUUAUAUAGCUCGGAUGAUCUUCUUGAUUGAUUCCGUCCAACGGGUAGAUUGGAGGAAUUCCUUUGGUAAGUGCCAACGGCUAUGAUGGCAUGAAGGAGUAUAAAAGGAAGACGUUCUAGUUGUUUUAAGUGUGUGAUCGAUAGAAAAAUUCCAGAGUCUGAAGAUCCUUUGAUUGUUAGUUGAGACUGAGCGAAAUUGUAUACUGAGAGUGUUUAUACUUGGUGACGCCUUGAGCGAGUGUGGUAGAUCAUCUACACCUAGAAAUCAAGGAAGAUCAACACUGUAACAACUCUUUGAUCAUAGUGGAAUCCAGCCAAUCGGCUGUCAGUGCAGAAGAGUGGACGUAGGCUUGAAUCAAGUCGAACCACUAUAAACUGAGUGUUCAAUUCUCUCUUUCCCUUACUCAGUCUUGCGAUUGAAUUUUUAACUGUUGCAAAUUCUCUAAUUGUUUAAAAUAUCGUGCAAACAUCGAGAAAUUUUUUGUGUAUACCUAUUCACCCCCCUCUAGACACUCUCCAUGUGUACAAUUUCGCUCAGAAUGUAUCGACUAAUAAUCAAGGUGCUUCAGACUUUGGAAUUUCUCUAUCGAUCAUAUUCUCAAAAUAACUAGAAUGUCUUCCUUUUAUACUCCUUCAUGCCAUCAUACCCGUUGGCACUUUCCAAAGGAAUUCCUCCAAUCUACCCGUUGGACGGAAUCAAUCAAGAAGAUUAUUCGAGCUAUUAAAGGAACCUGAUGAUAGCCUAUCAAUCCUGUUCGCCCAUACAAUCAGGAUCUUGGUUUCCAAGAAUAGAACCUUCCAAGAAUACUUCGUCGACCAUCGGAUCUUCAAACGAUCUUGAUUACGAAUGAAAGAAUCCGUUAUAAUUAUCCAGCCAAGAUAUCUUCUCCAGAGGAUAGGACUAAAUCCUCAACCAUAUACUUUGGCUCUGGAUUGCCUUCGUUACUGGAUUAGAAAAACUGUCAGUGAGAAUAGUCUUGAGUCUUGAGUCUUGAGUCUGGGAAUCUGAAAGUCUUCAGACUCUAAACAUAAGGUUUGCAAUUAACUAGACUAGACUAAUAGAAAUGUUUUGUCAGCUUCAAAAUAUUCUGAAAAGAUUUCUCCAACAAUCUCCCCCUUUUUGAUGGUGACAAAACUUUCCUAUAGAUUUGAACAACUUUGACCUGCAAAAUAUUACUCAAGCAAUAUGGCUAUCUCAUAAAGAUUAAUAAAAUCAACAACCAGACUCUGCAUCCACAGAAAAGCAGUUAGUCUUUCAUGAGUAAAACCAUAUAGCAAUAUUUGAUAUAAAUGCAAAUAGUCAAUCAUCAAUCCACAUCCAAGUCAGUCAAAUUCAACACCGAAGUCAUACUAAAAACAUUCAAACACACAAAGAGAUUUAAAGUCAAAGUUUUAAAGUUCAGAUUGCAAUUCUCCCCCUUUUUGUCAGCAUUAAAAAGGUGAGAAAAGAGUCAAUUCUGCUUGGGAAUGCACACGAUCUGGAAUUCUCCCAUAGACUGUACGAUGCUUUCCAACUUCUUCAACUCUUCCCGUAGAUGAGCCACCUUUUCUCCUUUGGCAUUGGCUUGAAUUUGAAGAGCGAGGUCUUUCAUUUGAUCUGCCAAGGUAGUAGAAGAUGCUUGUCCAGCAUUCUUCGGGACUUGAAGUUCACAAUCCAGAGCAUAGAUUUGUCCACGCAUUUCCAGAAGAACAUCAAGGAUACGACGAAAAUCUACUGUAUUGUCCGUCUGUGUGCCCGCAUUUGAUCUCUCAGAUGGAGUGAAAGCAGACGAUGGAUCUUCGGUGAAAUCGAGCAAAUUUGGUGUUGACGUAUCAUGUCCUUCUUCAGGCAUUUGAGAAGCCUGAAAAUCUUCUGGAUUUGCUGGUGAACGACUCACACCUUCAGUGUUGACAGGAUCUGGUGUAGUCCUUCCUUGCUCGCCAUCUCCCCCUGUCUCUAGGACCUCAAUUAGGGAAGAGUGAUGGUCAUGCUCUUCAGCCCUUUGAUUCCCUUUCUCUCCUGCUUCAUCUGCAGACUUUUCAUUCACUGCUUCUUCUUCUUCUUCUUCUUCAACCUCUUUCUCUUUCUCUUGUUGCUCCUCUGCUUCUCUGUUCUUUGCUUGUCCCUCUUUUUCUCUCUGUUCUGUUGAUUCUGGUACAGAACGUCUGGUUCUUGUCAAUGCAGGAAUACAGAGAUCUUCCUCUUCAUCUUCAUCCUCCAAGAUAAGAGUUCUUUUCUCUUUGGUGGAGCACUCAUGGGCUCCUUCCCUUUUCUCUUUGAUGCAGAAGAUACUGGAGUCUUCACUUUGAACUUCUCCAUUGCCUUGCUAAGUUCUUUCAUACGCAUUUUUAUCAGCAUUUUCAAACCCACCACCAUUUUGUCGCACGGUCGAAUACAAAGAGUGUGUGGAGGCUCAAUGAUCAAGUGUCUGAAGAUCUUGGUCACAAGACCUGCGUAAGGCAAUUGGCCCUUGUCCUUCACCAUUGCUCUAUACAUGUGAAAGAGAAUGGUGUGAGGGAGAGAGAACUUCUUCCCUGAAUUGAUCACGUACAUCAAUUUCACCUCGGAGUUAGACACGUCAGUCUUUGAUGUAGACUUUGGCCUGAGACAGUUGAUCAAAAUUUUGUGAAGCACGAUGUUGAUGGCACUCAUUCUUGAGUAGGUAAUUCUUCUCUCUGUAUCUCUGUCUUUGAUAAGCUCCAGUGUGGUACGAGCAAUCGAAACUUUGAUUGGUUGAUAACGUCCUCUUUCAACUCCAAUUAUGUCUGCCAUCAUGUCCACAUCUACCACAUAGACUUGGUCUCGAACACUAAAGGAUAUUCUAUUCGCAUCUAAAAAGCUGAGAUUUGAAUAGAAGUAUGCUAUCAAUUGUGCAUAACCGUCUGUGGUAUCAGAGCAAAAUUGCUCAAGUUGAAGCAGAUUGAACUUCUCCCGCAAGUUCACAUUGAUGGCAUCCAAGAAGUCGAAAUCAACACUCCUAGGGUUUAUCACCCCUCUUUUCAACAAUCUGAAAAACAGAUUCUCCUGAUCCUUCGAUUUAAACAAAUCCAUCCGAUUUCCCUUCACCUUUGCUGCAACACCCAUUCUAGGUUGGAAUUCAAGGAACACCUUAUCAUCAUCGUUCCCAUCAGUCAGAUUCUGUCCCGGUACACGAGGGUCACUUGGAAUGUUCGCAAGUGCUUCCUCAGCCUUUCCUUUGGGAGCAACUCCCAAAUCCUCCAUUUUCCGCAAAAAAUAUACUCAUUCCCAUAAUUCUUAUCUUUAAGAAAUUCAUCUACGACAUUCAGCGGAGACCCAAUGCUUUUCAAUGCACGAUAGAGCUUGUAAAUAAAAGCGGGUUUUUGGACUUUUACAGGGUCUGUGUCCUCGAUUAUUUCUUCCUCCAGUUGAUGACCCACACCUUAUGGGGUAGAUGGUGAAGAUUGACGUGGAGGAGAGUGAAUCGGGCUCUGUUGCUGACUCGGUAAAUCUUCCUCCUCGGUGAGAUCGAAAUGUGUAGGCCCCUUCCUCAUUCUCUGUGGUCCCCUGUUCGCGAUUCUUGAUGACUUUCUCGAAGAAGACAUCCUUCCUUGUCGUUGAAAGAUUCCUUUACUCGCUUUCCCAAGAAAAGUUGACAACUUUCUUGAAGAUGAACACGAAGUAGUGACAGGAUUGGGAGGAGAAUGCCUUUUAGGGUUUUGAAGUUUAAGCGAGGAAAACUGUAUAUAUAUAACUCAGUUUAAAAAUGGAAAAUGAACAGUCGUCUCUUUUGAAACCGUUAACUACCAAAAAUAAGUUAAUAUUUUUGAAAAGACAUGAUUCCGUUUUUCACGGAAAUUAUAAAUUAAUUGAACUAAUGAUCAUACCUUUUCGAGAUUGAGUAUGAUAACAACUUACAGUCUAUAGCCAUGAAUGUCUGAGUCUGACGGUUGGAUAGUCUUUAGACUUUAACUUCCUCAAGCUUCAAAAUGUUGAGUCUGGAACGGAUAAAAUCGAAUUGAUUUUUCUCCAAAGGCUUUGUGAAUAUAUCUGUUAAUUGGCUCUUUGAAUCAACAAAUUGAAUCGAGAUUUCUCCAUUUUGAACAUGAUCUCUGAUGAAAUGAUGUCGAAUCUCUAUAUGCUUUGCUCUUGAGUGAAGGAUUGGAUUUUUAGUGAGAUUGAUUGCGUUGGUGUUGUCACAUCUAAUCUCUGUGCAUGAGUCUUCAAUUCCAAAGUUUUGUAACUGUUGUUUUAUCCAUAGAAUUUGCGAACAGCAGCUUCCAAGAGCUACAUACUCUGCUUCUGUUGUUGAAAGAGCUACAGUGCUUUGUUUCCUUGAAAACCAAGAUACUGUCCUGCUUCCAAGUAACUGGCAAGUUCCCGAAGUGCUCUUUCUGUCAACUCUGCAACCGGCCAAAUCUGCGUCUGAAUAUCCCAGAAGAUUAAAGUCUCUCUUCUUAGGAUACCAAAGACCGAUGCUUGAAGAUGAAGCAACGUAUUUAAUAUUAUGUUUCGCAGCACUGAGAUGGGAUUCUCUAAGAUCUGAUUGAAACCUAGCACAUAUGCAAACACUCAACAAAAUGUCAGGUUUAGAAGCAAUAAGAUAAAGAAGUGAACCAAUGAUACUCCUGUACAGCUUUUGAUCAACUUUCUUUCAUUCUUCAUCUUUGUCUAUCUUCAGAGAACUUGACAUAGGUAUGUCGGUCUUUUUGCAUUUUUCCAAUCCAAACUUCUUGACAAGAUCAAUAGCAUAUUUUUCUUGAUGAAUAAAAGUUCUUCCUUCAAUUAUUUUAUUUGGAGUCCAAGAAAGAAUGUUAACUCUCCCAUCAUAUUCAUUUCAAACUCAUCCUGCAUAGACUUAGAAAAUUUCUUGCACAGACUUUCAUUAGGGGAUCCAAAAAUAAUAUCAUCUACAUAUAUUUGAACAAGUAAAAAGCUUUUGUUUUCCUUCUUGAUAAAUAAAGUAAUAUCUACUUUACCUUUGACAAAACCAUUCUGUAUUAAGAACUUACUUAGUCUGUCGUACCAAGCUCGAGGUGCUUGCUUUAAACCAUAUAAAGCCUUUUUCAGUCUGAAGACUGAAUCUGGCUUCUUUGGGUCUUCAAACCCUGGUGGUUGUUCCACAUAAACUUGCUCAUGGAUAAAUCCAUUUAGGAAGGCACUUUUGACGUCCAUUUGGAAUAACCUGAAAUUUUUAUAGCGAGCAAACGCAAGUAAUAAUCGAAUAGCUUCUAACUUUGCUACUGGAGCGUAAAUCUCAUCAUAGUCUAUUCCUUCUUCUUGCAUGUAUCCUUUGGCCACGAGUUUUGCUUUGUUUCGUACAACUUUUCCUUUCUCAUUCAUCUUGUUCCUGAACACCCAUUUGGCUCCAAUAACAGUUUUACCUUUUGGUUUAGAUGUUAGUUCCCAGACAUCAUUAAUGUUAAACUGUCUGAGCUCUUCUUGCAUAGCUUCAAUCCAGCUUUCAUUAGAUAAAGCUUCUUCUAUGCUCUUUGGAUCAAUUUCAGAAAUGAGAGCCACAGCACUAGACUCUUCACGCCUUUUGGAUCUGGUGCGAAUUCCUUCAUUAAUUUCGCCGAUGAUGAGUUCUUUGGGAUGACUGGACUUAUGCUUCCAAUUGCUAGUUGAUUUGUCUGGUUGAUGAUCUCUUUCUUUAUUUGAAUCUUCACGAACAGCUUGAUGCUGGUCUUCUAGAGUCUGAUUUACUUCUUGAGUUGUAAGCUUUAGAGAGUCUGGAGCAGAUUCAGACUCUUCAUAAUGAGUCUGACUGGAUUCAUCUUGCAUAGAGUCUUGAAAUUUGACAUUCAUUGACUCCUCCACAGACUGACUCUUCUUGUUGUAGACUCUGUAGGCUUUGCUUGAUGAAGAAUAUCCAAGAAAGAUGCCUUCAUCUGAUCUUUCUUCAAACUUACCAACUCGAUCUUUAGCAUUUUUCAAUAUAAAGCAUUUGCAACCGAAUACAUGAAAGUAUGAAACAAUAGGCUUCUUACCUUUGAAUAACUCAUAAGGGGUUUUUUUUCUUGAAUAGCUCUUAAGAAGACUCUAUUGAUUAUAUAGCACGCUGUUGAAACAGCUUCAGCCCAAAAUCGUGAAGAAAUCUUACUUUCAAUUAAAAAAGUUCUAGCCAUUUCUUGAAGAGAUCUAUUCUUCCUUUCCACAACUCCAUUUUGCUGAGGAGUAUAUGGAGAGGAGAACACAUGCUUAAAGCCAGAUUCAUCACAAAAUUUAGUAAAAUCUUGAUUUUCAAAUUCACUUCCAUGCUGUUAUUAUACUGGAGAUAACACAUCCUUUUUCAUUUUGAAUCUUUUUAGCAAAUUUCUUAAAAUACGAGAAGGUUUCGGAUUUACUUGCAAGGAAAUAUACCCAAGUAAAUCGUGAGUAAUUGUCCACAAUUACUAGGCAAUAUUUCUUACCUCCAAUGCUCUGGGUUCUGGUAGGUCCGAAGAGAUCCAUAUGCAGCAGCUGCAGUACAUGAUUAGUAGAAACAUGAUUUAUUGACUUAAAUGAAUUUCUUACCUAUUUUGCCAGAAUACAUGGAGUGCAUAGAUCAGAUUUUUGGUAUGGUAAUUUGGGUAGACCUCGAGCAAGCUGCUUUGAAGAGAUUUUGGCUAAUUGCUUCAUGUUGAUAUGACCAAGCUUUCUGUGCCAUAAGCUUGCUUCGUCUUGAAUUGAGAUUAAGCAUUGCGAUUCAUCCGGUUUUACAUCCAAGAGAUAGAUGUUUCCAUGCCUUCGACCCAUGAAAGACUGAGUAGAGUCUUUGCUGAUACCAGAACAUGUUCCUUCUUGGAAGAAGAUCUUAAAACCAGUAUCACACAGUUGACUGAUGCUGAGAAGAUUGUAAUUGAGUCCUUCCACUAGGGAAACAUUACUUAUUAUAAGAUUUCCAAUUUUCACAGUUCCAAAUCCCACAAUACUUCAUUUGUUGUUUCCUCCAAAUGAAACUUUUCCACCAUUUACUUGAACAAGUUUUAUGAAGCAAUUUGAGUCUCCUGUCAUGUGUCUUGAGCAUUCACUGUCAAGAUACCACUUUACCUUUUUCUUGACGGAGACCUGCAUUUAAAAGAGAGUCUCAAGCUUUCUUAGGUACCCAAAUUUUCUUGGGUCCUUUGGUGUUAGUAAAAUAAACAGUAUUAGCCCAUACUUUCUUAACAGGUUUCCAAACCAUAGGACACUCUUUUUCAAAGUGAUCUGGACUGUUACACUUUGAACACCUGAGGGCAUCUCGACCUACAGACUUUACAAAAACCUUCUUGAAAUGAUUUUUGUAAGCCUCUCUUGAGGGUCUUUGCUUGAUUCUUUCUUUUACUUUAGGAAAAUCAAUCAAGGGAAUAGUUUCUGAUGUCAUACCUAAACCAGACUUAUUGAAGUAAGGUCUUUGCACUGAAAGAAUUUUGUCACGUUUCUCGGAACCUAUUGAAAAUUUCUUUGAAAUAUUUGAUAAGUCAGUUUUUAAAAGAGCAUUUUCUUUUAAGAGACUAUCUUCAUUUUCUUUAAGAGUGAAAACAUUCUUGUCUAAACAUUCAACUUUUUCUUUUAAAAUAUUUUCCUGUUGUUUUAGAGCAGAAUUUUCCUUUUUAAGUUCGGAAAUCCUUUUGAGAGAAGUCUUAAGACUAAAACAUAGUUUAUCUAUAUAUUUAGAAACUUUGGCAGGAAUUUUAAAAUCACUUACCUCAAAUUCACUGUCUGAGUCUGAUUCAGAGUUUGAGUCUGAGUCUGAUUGCGCCAUCAGACAUAAGUUGGCAUAUUCAUCCUCACUUUCUUCAUACUCUGUAUCACUCCAGGUUUCAGCUUUGAGAGCCUUUCGAGACUUUUCAGCUUUUCCUUUCUUUUUCUUCAGAAGAGGACAGUUAGGUUUGAUGUGUCCUCUUUUCUUACAUCCAAAGCAAACUAUAUCUUUGUUUGGUUCCUCAUCAUCAACAGACUUGGUCUGCGGUCUUUGAAAACUUUGUUUCCUUGAGUUGAACCUUCUUCCUUUUUUAUUCAGUUUUCUGAAUCUUCUUAUCAUGAGAGCAAGCUCCUCAUCGUCCAUAUCAUCUUCAUAAUCUGUAACAUCAGAAUCAUCAUUUGAUUUUAAUGCAAUGGAUUUCUUACCUUUUGGAUCUUCGUCUUCAUUAAUUCAUUCCACUUCAUAAGACUGAAGAGUUCCAAUCAGCUCGUCGACAGAUAGUGGCAUAAUUCUCUGCGUCUCUCUUAUUGAAGUUUUUACGUGAUUCCAAUCCUUGGAGAGUCCACGCAGUAGCAUGUUUACCUUCAUAGGAUCAUAAAUUUUUUGUCCUUGAUUCUCAAGACCAUUGACAAUAUCUGUAAAACGGCUAAACAUGUCAGUUAUAGAUUCUCCUGGUUUCAUUUUGAAGGCUUCAUAUUGACCGAGGAGAAUAUUAAUUCUGGUCUCCUUCACUCGAUCUGUUCCUUCAUAGGUGAUAUGCAAUCUAUCCCAAAUUUCUUUUGCUGUAACACAAGAAGAUAUUCAGUUAUAUUCAGUUGGUGACAAAGCACAAUAUAAAGAGUAAAUUGCUUUUGCAUCGAGUGCUUGUCUCUUCAUUAUCUCUUCCUGAGUCAUUCCGUUGGUCUCAACAGUUUCUUUUCCUCUUUCAAAGACUGUUGCAGCUGUAGGAGUAAUUCAUUUUUCUACAACGUCCCAUUCCAGAGGAUCCUUUGAUCGUAGAAAGGCUUUCAUCUUGUUCUUCCAGAUGUUGUAAUCCUUUCCAUCAAAGUAGGGUGGUCUGGUAUUGCUUUGCCCUUCCACCAACCCUGGUGCUAGCAUACUAGCCAUGGAUCUUUUACUCUGAAGUAAAACACUUCAAAUAUAGUGAGGACCAAAGCUUUGAUACCAAUUGAUAUAGCUAGAAUAAGUACCUAGAGGGGGGUGAAUAGGUAUAUGCAAGAUUUUUCUUGAUAGUUGCACAAUACUAGACGAUUUAAUCAGAUUUGAGACAAACAAUAAUCAAAGUAAGACUAAGAGAAGGGAAGAGAAAAUUGAACAUGCGGUUUAUAGUGGUUCGGCUUAUUUCAAGCCUACGUCCACUCUUCUGCACUGACAGCCUAUUGGCUGGAUUCCACUAUGAACAAACAGAUGUUACAGCGAUGUUCUUCCUUGAUUUCUCGGUGUAGAUGAUCUACCACACUUGCUCAAGGUAUCACUAAGAAUAGACACUCUGUGUGUGUACAAUUUCGCUCAUAAUGUAUCGACUAAUAAUCAAGGUGCUUCAAACUCUGGAAUUUCUCUAUCGAUCAUAUUCUCAAAAUAACUAGAACGUCUUCCUUUUAUACUCCUUCAUGCCAUCAUACCCGUUGGCACUUUCCAAAAGAAUUCCUCCAAUCUACCCGUUGGACGGAAUCAAUCAAGAAGAUUAUUCGAGCUAUUAAAGGAACCUGACGAUAGCCCAUCAAUCCUGUUCGCCCAUACAAUCAGGAUCUUGGUUUCCAAGAAUAGAACCUUCCAAGAAUACUUCGUUGACCAUCAGAUCUUCAAACGAUCUUGAUUACGAAUGAAAGAAUCCGUUAUAAUUAUCCAGCCAAGAUAUCUUCUCCAGAGGAUAGGACUAAAUCCUCAACCAGAUACUUUGGCUCUGGAUUGCCUUCGUUACUGGAUUAGAAAAACUGUCAGUGAGAAUAGUCUUGAGUCUUGAGUCUUGAGUCUUGAGUCUGGGAAUCUAAAAGUCUUCAGACUCUAAACAUAAGGUUUGCAAUUAACCAGACUAGACAGAUAGAAAUGUUUUGUCAGCUUCAAAAUAUUUUGGAAAGAUUUCUCCAACACGUUUCCCAAAUUCGCAUUAAUCGAAGGUAUCGAUUGAUCCUUACACGAGGUAGACAAUCCAUAAACGGUGAUAUGAGGGCAUCAAAGUGGGAGUUUCUAUUAUCCGUUUGGCCUAAAAAUUUUACAUGACUGUAAUCUACAUAUUAGUUCACUCCACUACAAAUUUCUGUCAAAACGGAUGAACGAAUACUACAUACACGUCGUUUCCAUGCGAUUGCAUAGUGUGCCCAAGCCUGACCCAUGACCCGAGUUGACUGAUUUUAGUGAUAAAGACUCGAUGGAUCAAGCUUGAAAUGUUGGACAAAAACCAAAGCACUUUAGGGCUUUGAACCAAUGGAUAUUGGUUAGAAACCAUUGGGUAAGGAUGGGCUUGGCCAGUGACCAUAUAAAGGGAUUUAGAAAAAAUUAUCCAAAAUUUUUUAAACUUAUUGUACAACGACCAAUUCAAUCAUAAACCAUUUACUUAUGCCAAUUCAGUCUUAAAUAUUUUGAUGAUUUGUCAAUUUAGUCCUAAACAGUUUUAAUAAUAUGUCCUUGUAGUCCUUGGGCAAUUUCCAACCAAACUUAUCCGGAAGGAUUACAUUGGCAAAUUGCUAAAAGAUUUAUGAAUAAAUUGACAAACUAUCCAAAAGUUUAGAACGAAAUUAGUACAGCUAAAAGGUUUAUAACUAAACCAGUUGCCUUACAACAAGUUUAGGACUAAAUUGACAUAAUUGAAAAGUUCAUAACUAAAUUUUUCGCCGUACAAUAAGUUUAUGACUUUUUGAACAAUUAUUCCGAGGGAUUCAAGAUACUUUUUUUUCUCUCUCUCUAAACUCAUCCCUCUCAUUUCCACCUUCAUUUCUUUGGCUCAUUCUCUAGUCUUCAUUUCAUAGUACUCUCUCUAGGCUUGAAAAACUAUAAAAACUAUGAUUUGAGGAACCCAAAAUCGUUAAGUAACAAGCGAAGGUUGAGGGAACUAGAGCAAACUAUGUUAGUUUUGCUAAUUAUCAUGAGUUGAGUGAGAGCCUAGGAUCCCUUGCUUCACGAAUUCAAGGUAAAACACUUUCGUCCCUCUAUCAUUUUAAGUUGUUACUCCUUCUCCAAAGAUAAACAAGCUUUGGAUUAUGGUUAAAAGCCGAGGUAUGGCGGCUCGCAUAGCCAUUGCAUGCAUUACGAAUCCACUACCUUGGUCUACCGAUCGAUUCACACGGUUAUGGCAUCUAGUACAUGUGAUUUGACUUUUUUGGGUUAUGUUAGACUUAAGUUUGUUGUUAAACCGGUCCAUUUCCUCCUCCCUUGGCCAUGACCCCUACUAGCCUUGUCUAGCCGUUUCCCUUGAUUUUUUGUUGAAAAACCUUGCAAAUGUGUCUCGCCCCAUGCUUUAGCCAAGGGCCCUAGGGUGUCAAGCUCACUUUUCUUCGUCAUUUGCUCAUGUCGAUAUCAUAUUCUAUGAUAGAUUAAGAUAUAAUGUCGAUUCCUAUGUUGAAUGUCAUGCUUGCAAAGUUUGAGAAUUACCAUCAACCGGUUCCAAGGAUCGGUCUUUGGAUGUGAUUAAUCUUAUUUCUUUUGCAACUUACGUUGUUUAAUCUCAUAUUUUAGUGGAAUCACACAUUAUCAUUCACCUGUCACCAAGAUUCCAUGUUUUGGAACUGCUUAGUGGGCAAAUGAGCACAUUUAUCUAACUGCCCAGCAAACCUAAUGGGCUGGAGGGUCGGUUUUGGACAAGCCAUUGCAUUAUUGCAUCAUUCCUGAGUCACAUUCACAUGUUCACCUCAUAUUUAUAGAAUUUUAAUUAUGGUUAUUAAUUUAAAUUUAUCCAACACGUUUUUGGUAUAGUUUAGAUAUCUAAUCAUAUUAUCAUUAUUAUCAUCAUUUAGCUUUAGGAGACAUGCACUCCUUAAUCUAGGAAUUUGCAAAUUUAAUUAUUAGCAGCCUCAGGAGUCCUAUUCCAAGGUUCAACAACAAGAGAAUGAAUUUUUUUUGCCCGACUCAUAUUAGGUUUUCUUGUUGCACCUCAAUUGCUUAUGGGCAAGGGUGGCUGACCCUUGCCAGUCCGGGAGAGGGUGCCCAGGCCUAACAAGGGUGAGGGCGCCCAGUUUUAGGCGACAUGGACCCUACCCUAAGGCUGGCGAUGGUGCCUCUUGCAUCCUACCAUUAUUGUUUUUCAAUUUUUUAAAAUAAAAUUUUAGCCUUUUACUUUUUUAAUCUAAUUUAAAUAAUAUUUUGAAGAAGAAAAUAAUUUAAAAAAAAAGCUUUGUAGGAGAAAAAAAUUAAUUUAAAAAUGCCAUGUCAACGACUCAUCGCCAAGAUCAAUUUCUAGAUUUUCAACUAAUUUACAACAUCAUAAAGUUGAGUCGAUUGCUCAGGCAUGCUAGUCUAUUCCUUGUAUCUUAAAUUUACAUAUCUCUUAAUUAAAAAUGAUUUAUUUUGUGAGAACCCCUCUUACACACAUCUUACAAUUUCUUCCACAAUGUGUUAACAUUUGUUUCUUGAGGAGCAUGAUAUAAAAAAUUAUGAUCAAUCUAUUGUGAAUAGAACCAACUGUUUUUUUGAUUGAUUUGCUCUUGCUCCUUAUCUUUUUUUGUCUUCUUUACCUCUAUCCCCACUGAUGGGAUCAUAUAAAUUUUGACAAGACAAUAUGUCUUUAAUCUGAGAUGUCCAAAUAAAAUAAUUUGAGGCAUUUAACUUAAGCAUGGUGCCAAUGGUUUCCUCCAUCAAUGCUAGCUCUAAUUCCACUUUGUUGGGGAAAGACAACAUCAAUUGUUGAGGACUUAAGCCUGUCUAGGAUCGAAACCCUCCACCCCAAACUCAAUGAACUAAUAUCAAAUCAAUCUCAACGGCAACUAAUUACAAUAUUCCAGUACUAUUAACCCCAAACAAGUAAAUAUAGCGCCGAAAAUUAAAUACAAAGUAACAAGACCCAAAAUUUUAUGAGAAAUAGCCAAUUCGGGAAAAGCCACAAGAGCUCUCUCUUUUCUUUUUCAGCAAGAAAACGCGGCUACUCUCGCUUCUCCACUGCUAUGAAACGUUCAGCCCUCUUUUUCUUUUCUUUUCUGAUUUUAUUCUUAUUAAAGAUGUGCUAGACCUAUGAGUCGGGCCUAGCCCAUCACUCUGCACACGUUGAGUGAGAUCCACGGUGCUCUUGACGUCAAUGUUCUGUGCAAGUCUUCGCUUGCAAACAAUUGAAGGGAAGACUGCAGCAAAAAUUCACUUAACUGACUUACGGUACGGCAACCCAAGAGCCUUCCAUAAUCAAAGCCUUUCAUAAAUUUAGUUGAAUUGCGCGUAGACUUGUGGUCAAUGCAUAGCCAAAGUUCUGAUUUGACACUACCCUAUAUAAAAAUCUUCUGAAUGUCUCUUCUCAUCCAUCCAAUCAUCAAAAAAUGAAUUUUUGCGGCACCAUUCACCUCUCUCUCAUCUUCUUCUUCUUCUUCUUCAAUUUUCUCAGUAUUUGCACUCACAUUACUAAAGCUGCACCCGAAUAUCUGUAUCAUGAUUGCCCAAACACCACCCUCUUCACUCCCAAAUCCACCUACCAAACAAAUCUCAACACCCUCCUCUCUUCCCUCUCCUCUGUCGCCGCCACAGAUGUCGACGGCUUUGCCAAUGCCACUGCCAGCAAAAAUCCACUUGACCGCGCCUACAGGCUAUUCCUCUGCCGUGGCGACAACGCCGCCACUGCUUGUGGCGACUGCAUGGCCAACGUGAGCAAGGAAAUACUCAGCAACUGCCCUAAAGAGAAAGACUCCAUCAUUUGGUAUGUUGAGUGCAUGCUGCGUUACUCGAACCACUCCAUUUUCUCCGUUGAGCAAGAUGCGCCAGCUUCGUAUUGAUGAACGUGGUCAACAUUUCAAGCUCUAGUAGCUUUUCCCAGUUGCUAAAGGACACGUGUUGACACUUAAUAUUUUAGAAAAUAAUAAAUAAAAUAAAAAUUCGAUUUUGGAAAUUUUUUGUUGAAAAUAUAUCUUCAUUUCAAAAUUCAAAAAAUUCAGUUUUUAUUUGAUUUUGGAGCCUUUUUAUUGUUGGAGUUGUUGAGUGAAUAUCUCACUCGCAAAAACAACUUUGAGCCUUCCUCUAUAAAUAAAAGAGCGAAGUUUCGGAACCAAAGGGGGGGCUCCUUCAUUUGGUUUUCGAAAAGUUCACAAAAGAAAAUAGAGUUUUGGUAAGGAGAAACGUCAAAAGAAAAAAGGUGGAGAGAAGAGAAGAUACAGAGAGAGAUGACGUGAGGGAAAGCAGAAAAGUGAGAGUGAGAGAGACAGGUGAGAAAGAGUAUCAGGUGAGAGAAAGUAAAAAAACAAAGGCAAAAAGAUGGACUAAUGUUCAUCUUCCUCGUGAGUUUCUGUCCCUACUGCCCAUUUCCUCCGCGCUGACAAGACUGCUGCUGCCACUCCUGCGCCCCCCAAUCGCCGGUUCCCUGCUCUGUCUCGCCGCAUCAGCAUCACCCAGCUUCACCGGAGAUCUGCUCUCUACUCCACCUACAGCCGCACCAUCGUUCGGAGCCCGACGACCGCCCCGACGCCAACGCUUCUACCCCGCUUUCACCGACAUCGCUUGACAACCCGCGCCGCCUCCGCUCAGCUCAAUGCCGCGAGUAGCAACCUGCUCAUUUCCACUUGUAGCACCGCUCGAACAUCACCGCUGCCUGCGCUUGCGCCUCUACUCGACGAUCACACCAGUAGCCCGCGCUGCUCUGCCUCCGCUCGAUGCCCGACGCUCCUGCAGCACCUCCGUCCGCGACCGCCCAGUGUCCGAUGCCCCUUCCUCCGUGCAACGAUUCUCCAGCCGCUCCGUGCCUCCUUGCUGUUGCGUCCGCCAGCCCCGUGUCCUUCGCCUCUAUUCGUUGCUGCACGCCCGAACAAGGCCACAUGCUGCCUCCCUUGUUUUGCUGCAAAUCUAGUUACUGUCGAACCUCGCCGGAGCUCCGACGGACAACCCCAGCUUUGGCCACCGGAACCCAUCACCCUUGGCGAGUCACCAUCGCAGCUUAGCCAUUACUACUUCUUCGCCAUUUCUUCCAGUCCACCAUGAGUUAGACUAGGUGAAUUUUUAUAUUUGAUUUCAUGUUUUGUUUUUAUUGUAACUUGAUUUAUUUUGAUUUACUUUUAUUAUUUGAUUAGGAAAUUUGUCAUAUUAAGCCAUGAUAAUAAAAAAUAUUGAACAGCGAGACAGUGGGUUAGAUUUUUGAUUAUUUCAACUUUUUAUGACAAAUUUAUGGUUUGCUUUGCAUUAUUGACUCGCGUUAAAAUACAUGUCAUUGAUAUACAUUGAUGGAUUAUAUUUUCGUGCGUUAUCAUUAUUUGUUCCUCACAUAUUAUGCAUAUCUAGAAUUUAAGUACUUAGGUCCAUAUGCAUUUUAUAUUUAAAGCUUUGCAUUUUUAAGAUUCAUAUAGAAUUAGGAUGAUUUUCCUUUAAUAAAACCAAAUAAAAAAGAAUAAAAAAAUGUUAUUUAGAUCAUAUAAAUCACACAUGUUGCACUCUAGUUAGUGGGCCGUAGAUUAAUGUUUUAAUAUUCCCAUCAUGUUGUUUUUUUUAAUAAAAAAAAAAGCCAAAGAUUAUUAUUGCAUAAUCAUGUUGUUUUAAUAAGAAUUAUUAAGUAAUUUAAAAAAAAAGAUAAAACAAAAGAGAAAACACAAAAGGUCAUUUAUUUGGUUAGUUAAUAGGUUAGUUCAUAAUUAAUCCCAUUUUAUGUCAUCAUUGUUUAGUGUAGGUUGCAUACAUUAAAAAAAAUCAUAAAAAAAAUCAUAAAAAGAACAUGCAUAUAGAAUUAUUAUGUCAUUCACCCCAUAUCAUGUAGGACAUGCAUACUUAGGAUUAUAUAAAUUAGAUUGCAUACAUAUGGUGAUAGUUCAAAUUAUGCCAUAUAAAUCGCAUUUCAUAUAUCAUUAAAGUAAAACUCAUGCAUAUUAAGUUUAGGUUAAGAUUGCAUAAUAAUAAAAAUUAGGUGUCAUUUAGAAAUCAUGUUUAGAGCAUGCAUUUUUAUUAGCAUUUUUUAUUGAUUGUUAUUUUAUUGAUUGUGCACCCGCAUGACCACCAUUUGCAUGUUAGUAGCUUAAGUUAAAAGUAAUUGACAUUGCAUGCAAAAUAUUUUUGAAGUUAAUAUAAAAGGUACCAAAAAGGCGUUACACUAAUCUAGCAUAACCAUGUCCCCGGACCUACUAAAUCUCUGGUUCGCAAAAGUGAAGUAUUCUCCCAUAGUUUACUUGAGUUUCUAACUAACCCUAAUUGGUUAGUGGCGGCUCCAAAUUGAAUAUAAUUGCAUGUUUAAAUGAGUUUAUUUCUUAAUAUCAAGUCGCGAUUGGUAGGACUUGGGAGGGUCCAUGCCAAGUCUUCGGACUUAGUAAUCCAUUAGCCUUCUUUAGGUAAUUCACCCUUGGGAAUGUCGUGGUAGCUCGGCGACUCCGCUGGGGACAGAGUUAAAACUCAUAGUGGACAUAAGCCUAUUUUUUUUUUUUAAUAUUUUGUUUGACGGCAUGGAAACAAAGUAUGCUCCUAACACGAAGUGUUAAAUGUUUUUACAGAAAUGAGGUAUAAGGGGAGUAGUGCUUGCUGACUCUUUGUUUUCUAGGAAGGUGUUGGGAUUGAAUGUUUUUCUUAUCAUUGAAGUGUUGCUUACAUUAUAAAUUGUUGUGCAUGAUUUUCAAAUUGUUUUAGCACUACACAUUGCACACAUAACCUGCCGUUGGACCUAGACCGCAUUUAAGGAUUCUAGGAUGGUGUUGAGAAAUGAGCCAACCUUGAACGCGAGACCACGAUGUAGAGGUUGCCUUUCUCAACCCCGAAAUUUUUUCUUGGUGUCAAAAUGUUUAUCAUUGUCCGCAAGACUGCGUGAUCAUGAGAUUUUCCUUUUGACCGAGCCAGAGUUAAGAGGACCCGACAUUUGUACGCGAGAUUGCAGCUAGUUAGCCCAUCCUCUUGGCUCUAACUUGUUAAGCCUUGUAGUUUAGGUGUUAAGCCUCACAUUUCAUGCGCCUGUAUAUGUGGUUGCCAUUUUCCUUUGUAGAGUAAGUAUUCUUACCUUAUAUCAUGCAAUCUAUUUACUUUAUCGCACUUUCUUUUGGUCCAUGACAAAAGGUCGAUCGUGAGUUUUAAUCUAUAUACAAUCGGGAGAUCCGAUGUUCAAUUCAUUCCAACUCCCAAGAUUGAGCUCAGAGGGUGGUGGAACAAAUUAAGUAAAGAAGGUGAGGAUUAUGGGACGACUCAUCCCCCUUUUGGAUAUUGGAGUCCAUAGUAGUGUUUUGCAAGCUAUAUCACACUUUUGGUGUCCCGAGACGGCUACAUUUAUUUUUGGUAAGAACGAGCUAACUUCAACACUGGAAGAGUAUAGCUUUAUCAUAGGAAUACCCCUUGAGAUUGAGCUUGUUAGGCCAACUCUUGGUAUGGAACCCACAUCAAUUUUAUCUCAAUUUCUAAGAAUUAAAACUAAUGAGGUUAAGAAAGUUUUGAAAGCUAAUUGUAAUGCAUGCCCUUUCUCCUUUUUGGCUAAUCAUUUUUUAAAUCAAUCUUCAAUGCACCAAAAGGGUAGGAUAUUCAUCUUAGUAUUCUUUGGACUUAUAAUAUUUCCUCAUCGAAGAAAUGCUAUUGAUCCCUCGAUUACAUGGGUGGUUAGACAAGCAUGCGCUGGCAUGAACUUUAUAAACAUGAUUUUGGCUGAGACAUUUUUGUCCCUCAACUGUUUUAAACAAAAUGGAGAAAAAAUCAUGAAUGCCUCUCCUGAGCUUUUACAAAUUUGGUUUCUUUCUCACAUGAAGGAGUUUGGUCAUUUCAUGCGUUGAGGUGAAAUUGAUGAUUCUAAUCACCCAAUAAAAAGAUUUUCAAUCUUAGAAAAAAAAAUAUACCGGAAAAUCAUUUUCCGAUUGGGUGACUUUUCUUAAAGAUCCAGAUCUCAAGGGCUUCCUAUGGUAUGCUAAAUGGUUCCAUGUUAGCGUGGCUCAUUUCUCUCAUAAGACAGAUAAUCCAAUUCCAUUGAUGGGAAUUACUGGUGCAACAUCUUACUAUCCUUAUAGAGUGGUCUGCCAGUAUCGAGUGCUCCAAGAUAUCCCACCUCCUCUCUGAGUGGAUCUGUUUCAAGCCCGCUUCGUGCGCAAAGAUCACAAAUACCUCGAUGAGAUCGAGCGUCUUAAAAAUGCAUGGAUGGAAUGCCAUCCGGAAAAGAUAGUGGUGCCUAGAAGAUUGAAAGGAAAUGAGAGGAUUUUUCAUGCCUCGGAUUAUUAUAUCCACCAUCAUGAGACCCUCAAGCUCUACNNNNNNNNNNNNNNNNNNNNNNNNNNNNNNNNNNNNNNNNNNNNNNNNNNNNNNNNNNNNNNNNNNNNNNNNNNNNNNNNNNNNNNNNNNNNNNNNNNNNGAGAACUCUUACGCGGCCAAGUACCCGAGACUUUUAUCGCUGCUGCGGAAUGAUGUUUGAUGCAGAAGGAGCCCAUACGCCCGAGAUCUCGUGCCCCACGGAUUGUGGAUCAUGGGUAAAUGGAGCGGUUCGAACAUACAGGACCUGAAUCGAUCAUGAAAGGGAUUUGGGGUGAUGGGAUGAUCUCCUUAGUGGUGCCAUUGUCGAGCAAGGCUGGGGGGAAACGGGCGGUAGCCCAGAAGAGUUACGUUUUUCCUUUUCUGUUCAUGUCUGCAACCUUUUCAAAGGAUUUUUAGGCCUUGAUGUUUUAGAGGGUUUGCUUAUCGAAGCGGUUAGGAUGACCCCAUAUGUUGAUAACAUACCUUUGAUGAUUCAACAAUUUCAAGCAAGCUUGACAAGACCAGCGCUUCAAUGGUACAUUAUGAAGAAGAUUAAUUUGCUGGAGACUUGGGAGGAUUUGACUGAUACCUUCUUCAAGCAAUAAAAGUAUAAUAUUGAUGUCACUCCAUCUCGAGAAGAUUUACUUCGCACUGAGAAGAAGAGGACGAAAUCUUUCAAGGCAUAUGUCACGAGAUGGAGGACUGUAGCUGCUCAAAUUACUCUAGAUCUAAUAGAGAAGGAGCUUAUGGUUUUGUUCAUGAAGACACUCCCGCCUGAGUAUCGAAAUCGAAUGCUAGGUUCGACUGCUAAGUCAUUCAAUUAGCUAAUCCCUGUCAGCGAGCGAAUUGAAGUAGCAUUGUAUGAUGGAUGGGCGUCUGAUCAAACCAGCUCAUAUAAGAGAGUCUCAGCCUGUCACGCCCAGAUCCUCGAGUACGCACACAUCCUUCUCACUUGGUCGAUUUUAUAAUGCAAUAUCCCAGGACUAUGUAUCGCUGACCAUUUCAUUUAUUAAGCACAUGCGGAAGCAGUUAAAAUUCCCAAACAAUAAAAUGAUGGGAUAGAAAAGCAUAGCCAUACUUUUCAUAUUGAAACUUAUAACCAAACUUUUAUACAAACACAAAAUAGAGUACUUCACAACUUUUUACUCUAUCUCUAUUCACAUCAAAAUGGAGAUCUCAAAAGAAGAAAGAAUCUCAGUCCAUCCGGGCCGUACUCAAGGCCCCUCUCGGUAUUAUCUUCUUCUUCCAAAAUUCUUCUCCUCGGGUUUUAUCUCCGAGUUCUCCUUCCCAGACACCUCCUCAGCUCCUCAUCAGAGUCCUGAAAUAUUUUCCCUAAACUGGGAUGAGACUACGUCUCAGCGAGUUCUAUCCCACUAAGGCCCGAUUAGUAAACCAUUAUACUAUAGGCUGCCUAGACACGCACAGGGCAGAGAAUUUACCUUGGCCUCAGAUCCCACCUGCAAGUCAGUACAAUUCACAAUAGGCACCCAGUUACUCCAAACAAAUCGAACCAAUCGAUUACAUGUCACACAAAUUAUUCUUCAUGGAGGAGUAUCUAAAAGCUAGGCCACGUGCAUUCUCCAAGACGACAUUCCAAGUCUCCAAGCCACAUGCCUCAAACCUUGGGCUCAUGUGCAUUCUCUAAGGCGACCUCUUCGCCAAGGUGAUACAUCAAGUCACCAAGCCUCGUGCCCUUUUAGAUGCUAUUUCCAAACACUGGACCCACGUGCAUUCUUUAAGGCACUCAAUUGCCAAAGUGACGCAUCAGAUCACCGAGCCACGUGUCCUUUUUAUGAUGCCCGGGCCCACGUGCCUUCUCUUAGGUGCUAUCCACCAAAGUGAUGCAUCAAUUCACCGAGCCACGUGCCCUUUUAGAUGCCAAACUCUGUCACCAAGCCAUGUGCAUUCUCCAGAAGGACAUACCGAGUCUCCGAGCCACGUACAUUCUCUUAGGCGACCUCUUCGCCAAGAUGACAUAUUCAAUCAUCGAAUUCAAGUGCAUUCUCCAAGUGAUAUUCCAAUUCACCGAGCCCACGUAUUUUCUUUCAGGUGAUAACCAAUACCCAACGAUUUCUCAAUCAAAUAAUAAACAAUCAACUCAAUAUGAAUAAUUCCUAAAAAUUCAUAAUUAAAUAAAUUCCAUACAAAUUAAAGCUCAAUUAAAUAAACGGACUGUGACGCGACGAUCAGCACAAGAUUUCGGUCGUUAGCCAUCAAAAUCUUAAUUUCCAAAAAAUAAUUAAUUAAUUAAUUAAUUUCGAAAAUUUAUUUAUAAAUAUUAAAAAUUUAAUUUAGCACAAAAUAAAGCCCAAUUAAAUAAAUGGACUUCAUCACGGUCACCAGCAUAAAAUUCCGGUCCCGAGCCAUCCCAGUUGAAUUUUCGGAAAAUAAAUAAUUAUUUAAUUUAAUUCCGAAAAUUAAUAUUUAAAUACUAAAAAUUCAACUUAGGCCCGAAAAGCCUAGCUGAAGCUCACUAAGGAUCAGGAAAAAUCCCAAGAAACUUCCAAUAAAUAGUAGACCACGUCUACUUGCUAAUUGCACAAUCGAUUUGUCUAAUUCGCAUCACAAUUGGCUAAUAAACACUAAUCCAUACUAAUCUAACCACAUAAACCUAAUUAAUUAAAACUAAACACUAAUCCAUACUAAUCUACAAGUCGGACACAUUCUCUAAUCCUCAUGACUUCACCUCUUCUUCUCCUCAAGGCCAACCAAAGUUAUCUAGCCGCUCCGUCCACCAGGGACCUGAAAUUUUAAUCCCACAACCGGGAUGAGACUUUGUCUCAGCAAGUUCAACCCCCUAAACCCCUAUUAGAAAGAAAAUACGCCCCGGGUGGCCUAGCCACAUCACACAGAAGACUUACCUCGCAUUAGCCUCAUCUGCAAGUUAGCACAAUUUAUAUAAUUCAACCACGUGCAAUUAUGAUAACCAAACAACCAGGCACACUCACAAUAUUAGAACAAUUCAACCACUUGGAUUGUCUCAGCGAUCAAUCGACUCGGCCGAUUACAUGUCAUUCUAACAAAUCAAUCAUUACCUCCAAUCACGAUGCUAUACAAAGGUUUGACAACCAGUGGCAAUCACGGCCCCACUCGGCACGACCUUUAAUUAGGUGGUCCAUCACGGCCUCACUGGGCACGACCUCUAAUAGGUGGUCAAUCACGGCCUCACUGGGCACGACCUCUUAUAGGUGGUCAAUCACGGCCUCACUGGGCACGACCUCUAAUAGGUGGUCAAUCACGGCCUCAUUGGGCACGACCUCUCAUAGGUGGUUCAUCACGGCCCUAUUAGGCACGACCUCUCAUAGGUGGUCCAUCACGGCCUCACUGAACACGACCUCUAAUAGGUGGUCAAUCACGGCAAAUCUUCCAUCAAUUCCCACACUUAGGAUUUUAUAAAAAAAUCCCUAUUUAUCGCAAUCACACUCAAUUUGCCACGAUCAAUCAUCAAAUUCAAAUUCUAAAUACACAGCAGCGAUCGACACGAAAUUCUGAGAGUUUAGGGUCCCGACGAAAUUUUCGAAUUUUAAUAAAUAAUUAAAUUUAUUCCGAAAAUUAAUUAAAUAAUAAUAUAUAUAUAUUUCGCAAUCCACACUCAAUUUAUAAUAUCUAACCAUCAAUUUCAAAAUCCGAAUACACAGCAGCGAUCGGCACGAAAUUCUGAGCAACCGGGGUCAAAAAUAAUUUUUCCGUUUUUUUUAAUAAUAAUAUUUUAAUAAUUUCGGAAUAUAAUAUAAUAUUAUAAUUUCCAGUAUUUCGAAACAAUUAAAUAAUUCAAAACUAAAACCCUAUUAUGUCCCAUCAAGGUUUAUUAUUAAAUAAACUAUCUUAGCCUUUAAUUAAACACACUUUAAAUUAAACAAACCUUUUAAUUCAAAUCACAAUUAAAUAAACUAAAAUAUCCACCUAAACUUGCUUAACUUAGACUAAGCACACUUAGGACAUAAUUAACCAUCUAAUCAAGGUUUAGUGAGCUAACUCACCGGAUUAGCGAGCCGAGCGGACCAAAACGACGGGGACAACGCGAGGAUCGACUUUCCACAAGGCGGGCCAAGCAUACGGGCUCGGGAAGACGGCCAAAACGGACCAAACACAGGUUGCCAUACCCACUAAAACCAGCUGCUGUCCAAGCUCGAAGGAGGGCCGUCCGGCGGCGGUUCGGGCGUGAAAUCGGUGAAGGAGGACGGCGGAUGCUCGAACGGUUACUAGCGGUGGCUCCGGCGACUUUCCGGUGAUCUUGCCGAUGGGGGACAGCUUGGGACAACAAAGGAUGAUGGCUGGGAUGCGCAGACGAAGGGAAGAUGGCACGACGGUGGAACGGUGGACGCACGCGUGAGGCUUCACGUGCGAACGGGUGGCAACGGCGAUGGCUCCGGCGACGUGCAGCGGCAUCGAGCGAGCGGAGGGGGGCGUGCGUGCGGGCUAGGCGAGCUGCUGGUUCCGUUCACCCCUCUCUCUCUCCUCUUUUUUUUUAAAAUCCAACAAGCUUCCUUGAUUCAAGGAAUAAGAUGAUGAUGAUAGGUCACCUUUCCGAGAGCAAAUCCUCACCCUCCACUUGUCAACAUCCUAGCCACUCUUGCCCCACACCAUGACAUCACCAAGUGAUGUCAUACUCCACUAACUCAAUCUUCCCACAACAAUAUUCAAUAGGUGCAAUUUAUUUUUCCGCCGGGGCAUGAAACUUUGUACAACCAAUUCUUCAAUUCCACUUGAUUCUCUUCUACUUGAAUUAAAUUGAAGUCCAUAAAAUUAAUCCAAUGUCACCACACUUCAAUUCACAUCUUCACUUGUCCAUAGAACCAACUUAAGUCCCAAAAGUGCGACCAAAAGCGGCCUACUAAUUUCUCGAGCCAAAUUAGCCAUUUUUUGUUUAUCUUGCUGAACAGCUCGGCUUGCAUGAAAAAUCUUCCAAAGAUUAGUCAAUGUUCCUAACAUGAUUUGUGACACAUCCAGACUUCCAAUUUCUGAUUCGAUCUUAAUUCCACGGUUAAUUUCACUUUGGCACGAUAUAGCGCGGUCCAACCUACCGGGUAACCUUUAGGAAUUUUCAUGCAUUUGACCUGUGGUUGAUCAUCUCAAGCCACAAUGUACAUUUUUGAAACAUUGGCGACUUUCGGUGUCGGUGUAAUCUCAAGGUUUCAAAUAUGAACACAGGGUACCCAAUCGACAGAAAAGUCGGUCCAGUGCCGAUCGACAAGAAUUGUGCGAUCUGGUGGAAUCACCCACACCUGAUCACAUGCCUCUGUCGAGUCGACCUAUCUCCGAUCUUUAAUCGAUUUUUAAUUGUGCCGUAAUGACCCUUGUAGAUUAGUUCGGUCGAAAGAUCGCUUCCUGGUCAAAUUCUCGAGUCAUAUGCAUUAGAAUUUCUUAACGGCUUCACCUGAUAGACUAGUUUUCACAUGAGUGGCCGACUCAAGGAAAAGAACUAUAUGCAUGCCAACGAAAUGCCUGUCUCAAUUUAUUGAAAAUAGAAUUUCGUCCCCUCUUAUAAAAAUUUCGUUAACGAAAUGCCAACGGGAUGUCACAACUCUUCCCCUCUUAUAAAAAUUUCGUCCUCAAAAUUUAAACUUUUACCAAUUCUUAAACAAAAAGGUGCGGGUACAGUCGUCUCAUAUAAUCUUCUCUUUCUCAGGUUGCUCCUUCUGUACCAAUGCUGAUAGAUCACUACCAUCUUGCCCAAACCACUUCGGGUCCAAAAUACUAAACACUUGCCCACUUAAAAUUCCAAAGGUCUUCAACACAAAAUCUACGAAGCUAAACUGGCGAUUCUGAGCAAUCUUUAAACUGUCUCUGAUAAAUGCGACUGAAUCACUGAUUUCUGAACCAACUCUGGACGUGCGAUUUUCUAAUAUCUGAUCUCAUCUCAACCGACUGAAGUCCUGUACAAUCUGCUCUACACUGAUUAAAAAGAAACUAUCUGACUGAUCUACUGAAACUGGGAACCUCUGGUCAAGAUCUAACAUAACUCUGACACUAAUCUCGGCAACUGCAAUCACUGACUACUGUACUGACCCUAGCCUAAGAUCUUUCUUUCCCCAACUUCACCUCAACAAUCGAAAUUCCGCACUCUCUGCUAUGCACUGUUUAAGAAAGAACCAUCUGAAAGCUCUGCCAACUUGGAACAUCUGAUCUAGAUUUGAAAUACAAUUCAUCCCCAACACUCCAUGCCGGUGAUUUAUAUGAUAUACACACACUUCGGUAUAUCUAUUCUAAUCGAGAUCCUUUCAUGUUGCACUAAGGUGAGUUGACUCUGUUCAUCUGUUGACCACAACCCUGUAAGGAAUCAAUACUCUUCCCGACUCCUUGAUAAUUUGUCAUAACAUUCCAUCAUGCUGCACUUCCAUUCCCACACAAGACUCUCUCAAGUGCUUGAAAAAAAGCUUUCCUGGCUUACGCUACCAAAUUCUCACUUACUGAUAUAUCCAACACUUACAACUUGUUCAGCGAUAUCUAUCUUCAUACCGAUCUACCAAUCUCGAUGGUGUAGAUUCUAACUCAUCUUUGUACUGUCUAGACAACGCUGAAGUUGCUAUGAUGAGCUCCCCAUAACAUCUCUUCUUUAAUCUCUAUAUCGUUAAUUACACACAAUCGUCCUCGGAACCUUAUCAUCCUAUCUUCAUAAAUCUGAAAAUCAACCUCUCUCAUUUGCAUUCUCUUAUAGAGUCUUCUGAAUUUCUAAAUCUAUCCGCUGAAGCAUUUUGAUUCUGAUAUGAACUUUCGGCUCAAUUCUUUCUAGAGUGAUAUAAAAUAUCAUAGUCGUAAUCCUUAAUGAGUUCCAUCCAGCGACGCUAUCUCAUAUUCAACUCCCGAGGUCUCAACUGACGGAACGCAUAUGCAACAACACUAUUUUGCUGCAUCAACAAGCAACCAAAUCCUUUAAACGACGCUUCAUUACAGAUCUCAUAACCUUCAGGACUAGAUGGAAUGGUCAGUACAGGUGUGAUAGUCAGCUUAUGCUUAAGCUCUUGAAAACAACACUCGCACUCAUCUGUCCACACAAACUUUUCUUACUUCAUCAGUGGUCGAAUCAACUGCAACGCUGAUGUUGAAAACCCUUCCAUAAAACUUCUGUAAUAUCCUGCUAAUUCCCAGAAAUUUCCAAUCUCUAUCACUACAGUCAAUCUCGGCCAACUGAUCACUGCUUCAAUCUUGGACGAGGUCUACGGAGAUUCCUUCUCCUGAAAUCACAUGACCUAGGAACGCCACACAAGUCAUCCAAGACUCGCAUCUGCUAAGCUUAUUGAAAAAUCCAAAAGUACUCGAGGUUUGAAGUACCAUCCCCAUAUGUCUCUCGUGCUCCUCAGCACUCUUUGAACACAGCAGGACAACUUCAAUGAACAUGAUCACAACUGAUUCAAGUACCCUUAAACAUUCCGCUCAUUAGACCCAAACAAAUAGCUAAGUUGUCCAUCAAACCACACAGCAUUACAGUGAACUCAUAACUGCCGUAUCAAGUGCUAGAUGCUAACUUCAGUAUGUCUUUCUUCCUGAUUCUCAAUUGAUGAUACCAUGAUCUCAAGUCAAUCUUGAAGAAUAUCAAUGUACAACCACAACGAACCACAUUUCUCCUUCAUGAACAGAACUGGUGCUCCCCAAGGUUAUGCAUUGGAAUGUAUGAAUCCCCUCUUCAACAAUUCUUGUAUCUACACCUUCAGUUCUUUUAACUCGGGUAACACCAUCCGGUAAGGAGCCUUAGGGACUAGCUCUGUUCCAGAGGCUAAUUCAGUCACGAACUCUAUUUUUCUUUCUGACAACAUGCUUGGCAAUUCUUUAGAAAAUACCUUAGGAAACUUCUCUACCACGAUUAUGUUCUCCAUAUUCGGCUUCUCAAUUGACGCAUCCAUUACAAUUGCCAUGUAGAUUCGAUAACCAACAACCUGGACCAAGUCAUCUUCAGUGGCGAAUAAUAAGGAUUGAAGUUCCUCUUCAACUUUCAGUAAUUCAAAACUUUCAUACGCUAACUGAAUAAAUUGAAUUAUAUCACUGCGACGAUUCAUAACAGUAGAAAGCUCCUCGAGCCGAACCUUUUCAUAAAUGACUUCCAAGUCAUACUUAAGCAAACUCUUCGAGCAUAACUAUAGUCGGAAAUUCACAUUUCUAUUACUUUAUUACCAAUCCGAAAAUCCUACAACCUUCACUGAAAAUUCUGCUGCACUACUCUGAUAAAAAUAUCUCAAAAAGCAUUCUUCUUCUGAUUGAUGCAUGGUCGAUCCCUUCAUGCUCCUCUAGCCAUCCUAGUGGUGUCCUAUCUGCAGUAACGGUACUUACACUCUCAUGGACUUACGCAGACAAUUCCUAACUCGAUGGCCGUGCUGGCCACAUUCAAAGCAUGCUCCCCUUUUUACUCUAACACUAGGCUGAUUCAAGCCUCUUUUCCACAAACUCGGCACACAAUCGGUGAGUCCUCUACCUCCCAUCAAGGAACAUCAUGCCCCCUUUCUUGCACUGGGGUCCAUUCCAAGUACCCCAUUAAAUGUCCCGAAGCAUGCUUCUUCUUUCUGUCUUAUCAAUGGCGGUGUCAAGAACAGCUGUGAUUCCAUCUGUCUAUACGGGCAAUCUUUGAUCACAUAACCUUACUGGCGACACCUGUAACAAGUCAUUUCUCUCUUAAAGCACAGAACAGAUCCCCGUCUUUUUUUACAAACACAACACACAUCGAUCAAGCUGAGCACUGACUUUCCAAUUCUACUCUUCUGGUUGGGUGAAAUAGGGCACCUUUCUUCUGACAUCAGCCUUUCUCCCUAAUCAAUUUCCAUCUCUGUCUAAAUUGAAACUUGUCUUAAAUGCAGCGGCUUGAUCCUCGAUCACAACUCCAGAUUGAGCCUCAACAGGCACGGCAACAACAACGGUUACAACACUGGCAACGGUAGAAACAACGGCAAUAGCGGUGGCUCGGUCCUGAGCUUACUGACCCAACAAGCUUCUAAGGAACACUAGCGCUUUAACGAUCCCAUCAAACCUAGGAUCGCUUGGUGCUGUUACACUCUCAAUACCAGCCUACGGCGGUACUCUCACACACACGCUGGUCUAAGCCUGCGCUCUACCUCGGGUACCAACUCUUGUCAGCAUCCUACCCUGAGGUACAGGUCCUAUCGACCUCCUCCAAGGAGUUCUCCACUACUGGUCACUCAUCCUACAGGCUCUUUAUAGACACAUGUUUUCCGAUUCCAACAUCAGGUUAGAAUUUGAGUGACCCCACAAACACAUUACCAAACAUCUAUCAACCACAUGCAUCCGCAUAUUAAAAGCCUUUACUACUAACUAUCCCAUGACUCAUCGCACCUUAUCACUCCAUACACAGACCAUGCUCUGAUACCACUUAAACGGGGAUGUCACGCCCCGAACCUCGAGCGCGCCAACAUCCCACCAUGGUCAUGCGAAUGUGACGUUCCCAGGUUAAGUCGCCGACCCAAUCAAAUAUUUAAUGCACAUGCGGAAGCAUAUUAUAAAACCCCUGACAGUAAAAUACGAGAUAGAAAAGCAGGAAACAAAAUCACAAUAUAACACUUUCAUAAUUCAACAGAAUUACAAAUAGAGGUCUACGGCCAACAGUCUACAAAAGACCGGCUCUUAAAAAGAAAUUGUCCUACGAUCUACAAGUUGGGCACAUUCUCCAAUCCUCAUGACUUCACCUCUUCUUCUCCUUAAGGCCAACCAAAGUUAUCUAGCCGCUCCCUCCACCAGGGACCUGAAAUUUUAAUCCCACAACCGGAAUGAGACUUUGUCUCAGCAAGUUCAACCCCCUAAACCCUUAUUAGAAAGAAAAUACGCCCCGGGUGGCCUAGCCACAUCACACAGAAGACUUACCUCGCAUUAGCCUCAUCUGUAAGUUAGCACAAUUUAUAUAAUUCAACCACGUGCAAUUAUGAUAACCAAACAACCAUGGCACACUCACAAUAUCAGAACAAUUCAACCACUUGGAUCGUCUCAGCGAUCAAUCGACUCGGCCGAUUACAUGUCAUUCUAACAAAUCAAUCACUACCUCCAAUCACAACCCUAUAUGAAGGUUUGACAACCAGUGGCAAUCACGGCCUCACUUGGCACGACCUCUAAUAGGUGGUCAAUCACGGCCUCACUGGGCACGACCUCUCAUAGGUGGUCAAUCACGGCUUCAUUGAGCACGACCUCCAAUAGGUGGUCAAUCACGGCCUCACUAGGCAUGACCUCUCAUAGGUGGUUCAUCACGGCCCUAUUAGGCACGACCUCUCAUAGGUGGUCCAUCACGGCCUCACUGGGCACGACCUCUAAUAGAUGGUCAAUCACGGCAAAUCUCCCAUCAAUUCCCACACUUAGGAUUUUAUAAAGAAUCCCUAUUUAUCGCAAUCACACUCAAUUUGCCACGAUCAAUCAUCAGAUUCAAAUUCUAAAUACACAGCAGUGAUUGGCACGAAAUUAUGAGAGUUUAGGGUCCCGACGAAAUUUUCGAAUUUUAAUAAAUAAUUAAAUUUAUUCCGAAAAUUAAAUAAAUAAUAAUAUCUAUAUUUUUCGCAAUCCACACUCAAUUUAUAAUAUCUAACCAUCAAUUUCAAAAUCCGAAUACACAGCAGCGAUCGGCACGAAAUUCUGAGCAACUGGGGUCAAAAAUAAUUUUUCCGUUUUUUUUAAUAAUAAUAUUUUAAUAAUUUCGGAAUAUAAUAUAAUAUUAUAAUUUCAAGAAUUUCGAAACAAUUAAAUAAUUCAAAACUAAAACCCUAUUAUGUCCCAUCAAGGUUUAUUAUUAAAUAAACUAUCUUAGCCUUUAAUUAAACACACUUUAAAUUAAACAAACCUUUUAAUCCAAAUCACAAUUAAAUAAACUAAAAUAUCCACCUAAACUUGCUUAACUUAGACUAAGUACACUUAGGACAUAAUUAACCAUCUAAUCAAGGUUUAGUGAGCUAACUCACCGGAUUAGCAAGCCGAGCGGACCAAAACGACGAGGACGACGAGAGGAUCGACUUUCCUCAAGGCGGGCUAAGCAUUCGGGCUCGGGAAGACUGCCAAAACGAGCCAAACACAGGCUGCCAUACCCACUAAAACCAGCUGCUGUCCAAGCUCGAAGGAGGGCCGUCCGGCGGCGGUUCGGACGCGAAAUCGGUGAAGGAGGACGGCGGAUGCUCGAACGGUUGCUACCGGUGGCUCCGGCGGCUUUCCGGUGAUCUUGGCGACAGCGGACAGCUUGGGACGACGAAGGAUGAUGGCUGGGAUGCGCGGACGAAGGGAAGAUGGCACGACGGUGGAACGGCGGACGCACACGCGAGGCUUCACGUGCGAACGGGUGGCAACGGCGAUGGCUUCGGCGACGUGCGGCGGCAUCGAGCGAGCGGAGGGGGGCGUGCGUGCGGGCUGGGCGAGCUGCUGGUUCCGUUCACCCCUCUCUCUCUCCUCUUUUUUUUAAAAUCCAACAAGCUUCCUUGAUUCAAGGAAUAAGAUGAUGAUGAUAGGUCACCUUUCCAAGAGCAAAUCCUCACCCUCCACUUGUCAACAUCCUAGCCACUCUUGCCCCCACACCAUGACAUCACCAAGUGAUGUCAUACUCCACUAACUCAAUCUUCCCACAACAAUAUUCAAUAGGUGCAAUUUAUUUUUCCGCCGGGGCAUGAAACUUUGUACAACCAAUUCUUCAAUUCCACUUGAUUCUCUUCUAAUUGAAUUAAAUUGAAGUCCAUAAAAUUAAUCCAAUGUCACCACACUUCAAUUCACAUCUUCACUUGUCCAUAGAACCAACUUAAGUCCCAAAAGCGCGACCAAAAGCGGCCUACUAAUUUCUAGAGCCAAAUUAGCCAUUUUUUGAUUAUUUUGCCGAAAAGCUCGGCUUGCAUGAAAAAUCUUCCGAAGAUUAAUCAAUGUUCCUAAAAUGAUUUGUGACACACCCAAACUUCCAAUUUCUGAAUUCGAUCUUAAUUCCACGGUUAAUUUUACUUUGGCACGAUACUAGCGCGGUCCAACCUACCGGGUAGCCUUUAGGAAUUUUCAUGCAUUUGACCUGUGGUUGAUCAUCUCAAGCCACAAUGUAGAUCUUUGAAACAUUGGCGACUUUCGGUUGUCGGGAUAAUCUCAAGGUUUCAAAUAUGAACACAGGGUACCCAAUCGACAGAAAAGUCGGUCCAGUGCCGAUCGACAAGAAUUGUGCGAUCUGGUGGAAUCACCCACACCUGAUCACAUGCCUCUGUCGAGUCGACCUAUCUCCAAUCUUUAAUCGAUUUUUAAUUGUGCCGUAACGACCCUUGCGGAUUAGCUCGGUCGAAAGAUCGCUUCCUGGUCAAAUUCUCGAGUCAUAUGCAUUAGAAUUCUUAACGGCUUCACCUGAUAGACUAGUUUUCACAUGAGUGGCCGACUCAAGGAAAAGAACUAUAUGCGUGCCAACGAAAUGCCCGUCUCAAUUUAUUGAAAAUAGAAUUGAAAAAUCGGGAUGUCACACCAGCGGUCCGAACGGUGGCCGGAGAUGGUCAAACAAUUGUCUGUGGUGGCCGAACAGGGGCUAGGCAGAGGCGAACAGGGCUGUCUCACAUGGGGAAGGGGCGCCUGGGCAGAGGAGAGGGCAAGCGGCGCACGGCGGCGAGCGGCGAACGCGGGGGCGUGCGGGCGUGGGCGACGGGACAGGCGGCGACGGCGAGCUGCAGCUUCUGCUCGAGCUUCUGUCUUCGUUCGCUGGAAUGCGUGGAAGGGAGAAGGAGAGAGAGUGCGAGAGAGAGAAAGAGAGGGAGAGAGAGAAGAUGAGGAUUGACCAGUCAAAAUGAAAAGAGAGAGAGAGAGAAGUCGGUGGGGGAAAGCUAUCCGCACGAAGGGGGAGGGAAAGGGGAGAGAAGAGAGAGAGAAAAGAGAAGGGAGAGAGAGAAAAAAAGAAAAAGUAAAUAAUAUUAUUUUUCUUAUUUUAUUUUAUUUUCUCUUUCCCUUUUUAUUUUCUUUUGGCCUUCAAUUUUUCCUCCGAUAAUUUCUUUAUUGAAAUUUCGGACUCGUCAAUAAUUUGACGGAUGAUGAGACAGGAUCCUAAAAAUAAAUUGUGACACGCUCGAUUAUUCGAUUCCCAAAACCAAAUUAAAUUUCAUGGUUAGAAUCAAUCAAACGCGAUUUUAGUCCAAUCUAACUAAUUGAGUAACUUUUAGGGAUUUUACUGUAGAUACAUCCCUUAACGGCUUCACCCAAUGGGUUAGUUAACUCGUGAGUGAUCAGCUCAGAGAAAAAGGACCAUAAGCACGUUGACGAAAUGCCAAUUUCAUUUUAUCGAAACAGGGUCGAAUUUUAAGAUGUCACACAGCCAAGAAGGAUAAAGAACCUGUGGUGGAGGUUAAUGCAGUUUAUGUUCAACUACCUCGCUCUACCUCGAACACCCAACAAGGAGGAGCAUGACCAUUCUUUGGCCAGCUAAAAAACUUUUCCAAGCAUCAAUUUACACCAUUUCCUAAGCCAUCGUCCAAGAUCUUGCCAACCCUUUAGAAGAACGGAUUAUUCGCUAAGGAGACUAAGUGAUCUAAUCCCGAACGUUUCCCCAACUAUGAUCCAUCCAAGACAUGUGCUUAUCAUAUGGGAGAGGUAGGGCAUUCUGUUGACGAUUGCUAUAUGUUGCAACACAAAAUCCAAAAUCUUUUGGAUGCUAAGGUGAUCUCAUUCCGUGAUGCACAGUUGAACAUCCAUAAUAACCCACUCCCUGACCACCCAGAAGCUGUGAAUGCCAUUUUCAGUUUUGAUACUAAGCCCACUAUGUUUCAAAUGAUUCAUGAAAAAGCAGAAGUGAUGGACACCCUGGGGCAACAAAGUGGCAAAUUCGAUUACUAUGUAAAGUAUUCGGCUCUUCCCAACUCCUACUUCGACCCACGAGAUAUCAUCCCAGAUGGAUGGGGGUGGCAUAGAUGAUCCUACACCUCCAAGAUUGAGAGCUUUGAUGACACACUCAAAGGAUGACUGAAUUGUUGAGAUAUUUAGUGUUUGCCAUCGACAANNNNNNNNNNNNNNNNNNNNNNNNNNNNNNNNNNNNNNNNNNNNNNNNNNNNNNNNNNNNNNNNNNNNNNNNNNNNNNNNNNNNNNNNNNNNNNNNNNNNNNNNNNNNNNNNNNNNNNNNNNNNNNNNNNNNNNNNNNNNNNNNNNNNNNNNNNNNNNNNNNNNNNNNNNNNNNNNNNNNNNNNNNNNNNNNNNNNNNNNNNNNNNNNNNNNNNNNNNNNNNNNNNNNNNNNNNNNNNNNNNNNNNNNNNNNNNNNNNNNNNNNNNNNNNNNNNNNNNNNNNNNNNNNNNNNNNNNNNNNNNNNNNNNNNNNNNNNNNNNNNNNNNNNNNNNNNNNNNNNNNNNNNNNNNNNNNNNNNNNNNNNNNNNNNNNNNNNNNNNNNNNNNNNNNNNNNNNNNNNNNNNNNNNNNNNNNNNNNNNNNNNNNNNNNNNNNNNNNNNNNNNNNNNNNNNNNNNNNNNNNNNNNNNNNNNNNNNNNNNNNNNNNNNNNNNNNNNNNNNNNNNNNNNNNNNNNNNNNNNNNNNNNNNNNNNNNNNNNNNNNNNNNNNNNNNNNNNNNNNNNNNNNNNNNNNNNNNNNNNNNNNNNNNNNNNNNNNNNNNNNNNNNNNNNNNNNNNNNNNNNNNNNNNNNNNNNNNNNNNNNNNNNNNNNNNNNNNNNNNNNNNNNNNNNNNNNNNNNNNNNNNNNNNNNNNNNNNNNNNNNNNNNNNNNNNNNNNNNNNNNNNNNNNNNNNNNNNNNNNNNNNNNNNNNNNNNNNNNNNNNNNNNNNNNNNNNNNNNNNNNNNNNNNNNNNNNNNNNNNNNNNNNNNNNNNNNNNNNNNNNNNNNNNNNNNNNNNNNNNNNNNNNNNNNNNNNNNNNNNNNNNNNNNNNNNNNNNNNNNNNNNNNNNNNNNNNNNNNNNNNNNNNNNNNNNNNNNNNNNNNNNNNNNNNNNNNNNNNNNNNNNNNNNNNNNNNNNNNNNNNNNNNNNNNNNNNNNNNNNNNNNNNNNNNNNNNNNNNNNNNNNNNNNNNNNNNNNNNNNNNNNNNNNNNNNNNNNNNNNNNNNNNNNNNNNNNNNNNNNNNNNNNNNNNNNNNNNNNNNNNNNNNNNNNNNNNNNNNNNNNNNNNNNNNNNNNNNNNNNNNNNNNNNNNNNNNNNNNNNNNNNNNNNNNNNNNNNNNNNNNNNNNNNNNNNNNNNNNNNNNNNNNNNNNNNNNNNNNNNNNNNNNNNNNNNNNNNNNNNNNNNNNNNNNNNNNNNNNNNNNNNNNNNNNNNNNNNNNNNNNNNNNNNNNNNNNNNNNNNNNNNNNNNNNNNNNNNNNNNNNNNNNNNNNNNNNNNNNNNNNNNNNNNNNNNNNNNNNNNNNNNNNNNNNNNNNNNNNNNNNNNNNNNNNNNNNNNNNNNNNNNNNNNNNNNNNNNNNNNNNNNNNNNNNNNNNNNNNNNNNNNNNNNNNNNNNNNNNNNNNNNNNNNNNNNNNNNNNNNNNNNNNNNNNNNNNNNNNNNNNNNNNNNNNNNNNNNNNNNNNNNNNNNNNNNNNNNNNNNNNNNNNNNNNNNNNNNNNNNNNNNNNNNNNNNNNNNNNNNNNNNNNNNNNNNNNNNNNNNNNNNNNNNNNNNNNNNNNNNNNNNNNNNNNNNNNNNNNNNNNNNNNNNNNNNNNNNNNNNNNNNNNNNNNNNNNNNNNNNNNNNNNNNNNNNNNNNNNNNNNNNNNNNNNNNNNNNNNNNNNNNNNNNNNNNNNNNNNNNNNNNNNNNNNNNNNNNNNNNNNNNNNNNNNNNNNNNNNNNNNNNNNNNNNNNNNNNNNNNNNNNNNNNNNNNNNNNNNNNNNNNNNNNNNNNNNNNNNNNNNNNNNNNNNNNNNNNNNNNNNNNNNNNNNNNNNNNNNNNNNNNNNNNNNNNNNNNNNNNNNNNNNNNNNNNNNNNNNNNNNNNNNNNNNNNNNNNNNNNNNNNNNNNNNNNNNNNNNNNNNNNNNNNNNNNNNNNNNNNNNNNNNNNNNNNNNNNNNNNNNNNNNNNNNNNNNNNNNNNNNNNNNNNNNNNNNNNNNAGGAUAACUCGCGGAAAGAGUACGACAACUAAAAUGAUGAUGGGCAGUUCAUUUCUCUACUAGUGAAUCCUUGUUUAAACCUUCUUUGAGCCUAAAUACUUGAAGAAUUUCUUUCAUACUACCUCUGUCAAGGACAACCCCACGUCGGGGCAAAUGGAGGUAAGUUGACAUUGGAGAGUAAAAUAGAUAGAAAUUUUCUUACUUUCACUUGCAUCAAUCUUCAAGUUGUGCUAUUACAUUGAAUUCAUGUGAUAAUUUAAGUGCCUUAGGAUGACGAAGAGCAUUUCUUUCACUAUCCUACACACUUAUACCAUUUGCAUAGCCCACUUGAGCCUGCAAUUUCAUUUUUUUAAACGCAGUUGGUGAUCAUCCCCCACACUGGGGUAGGGCAAAGAAAAUCAUUCGAGUAGCAUGGUCUAAAAUGCUUAUGAAAGAAGACUGCGUGAGUCCAAAGAAAAUAAGUGCAAAAACUGAGGGGCAUGAAAAAACAGUAUGCCUGAUAAAAGCAAGGCCAAUGUCCAUGAAAAGAAGAGAGAAAUGACUGAUGAAUUGGGGGGCAUAAAAAAAGUGAUGUGCCUGAUCGAUGCCCAUCAUCAAAGAAUAUGAUUUUAAAAGAAAAAAAAUAUUGAGAAAAGAUCUCCAGUUGAAUAAUCAUUGGCAUCAGGUGAUAAACUCUUGAGCCAAUAAAGAAAUCUGUCAAGAAGACAAUUCAUGGUGAAGAAAACUGGUGGCAAUAUCAAGAUAAUUACCAACUCUCACCCUUUACACACAUUUUGAGCCUAACGAUCCUUUCGUUUCUCAGCCCAUGAACCCAGCCUAUGUUACGUCCCUUACAAAGUCUCUUUAGAUUAGGGCACUUGAAUUAACAUGGGAGUUCACAUGUUUUAAGCAUUGCUCGAAGAAGUGCGAGCAAUAUUAUUUCUUUCUCAUUUUGCAGGGUUCUUGAUUUGUAAACCCGAAUAUGAUUACAAAAUUGUUCUUUCAAUAACCUUGACUCCAAGAGUCCCUUUUGCUAAUCCAUUAACCAAACCCACAUUACAAUAUCUGUCAAAGACCUCUCAGAUUGGUAAGGUCAUACUGCUUGCAAGAAAAUUCGAACUCUUGUCGACAAGAGGAUGAUAAGAUAGAGUGAUAUAUUCCCGCAUCAAUGGUCGGGACAAAUAACCCCUCCUAAAUGAGAGUGAGUGAAAAAGUCUUUCACACCAAAGGUGUCUUAUUUAGAAUGUUCAAGACAUUCACAGCUUAGUGAAAAUUGUCUUAAUGAUAAAUUUUUUCCGGUGGAAGUUUGAAAAAAUCAUCAUACAUGGACCUUCAUUGAAUUUUAAAAAAAAAAUGAAAUGAAUUUCUUCAAAGACCAAAGGAUUUGUCUUUAAAGCCCUGGGUUUGUUCAAUCAUAUUUGAAUACUUGAUAUGGCUUCCAAGUGUUUGUCUUUUCAAACAUUUGAUGUAAUUUCCAGAUGUUUAGUAAAAUUUCAAAUGUCUGAAAUGAAUUUUUCCUCAAAGACCAAAGGAUUUGUGUUUGAAUACUUGAUGAGAAUUCCAAAUACCCAUAUUUUCAAAUGUCUAGUAUGAAUUCCAAAUAUUUGAACCUUUAAACGCUUGAUGUGACUUUCAAAUGUUUGUCUUUUCAACAUCUGAUGUGAUUUCUAGAUGUUUAGUAAAUGUUUUCAAAUGUUCAGUGUGAAUUCUAGAUAUUUGAACCAUUAAAUACUUGAUGUGACUUCCAAGUGUUUGUCUUUUCAAACAUCUGAUGUGAUUUCCAAAUGUUAGUAAAUGUUUUCAAAUGUCUGACAUAAGAAUUAGAUUUUUGAAAGUUUAAGUACUUGAUGCAAUUUCCAAGUGCUUGGGAUCUGAUGGGAGUUCUAGAUCCCUAAAGACUUUGAGCCUUUCAAUUAUCUAAAGAGAUUUCCAGAUGUUUGUCAGAUCUUAUAGGAAUCAUUUCACACCUAAUAAUACGUUUCUGAAUCUCCAGAUAAGUAUGGCAGGUACAUGUUCUUCUUUGCAUUUGCAUUUCAUUGGACGUGAACACAUUGAGAUCUACGUUCUUGACCAAAUCAUUGCAUUUACAUGGCAUUCUUUAUUGCAUGACCUUGCAUUUAUUUGAGUCCAUUUCUUAAAAAAAAAAAAAAGUCAUUACAAUUAACAUUUGCAUAUUCAUUUCAUAUUCAUUUUACAUGGUUUAAAUUUAGGCGUCAUUUAUCUUUGAAGGAAACCUCUACGAGCUUCCCUUCAAAGAGGGGCAACUAUUGACACAUAAUAUUUUAGAAAAUAAUAAAUAAAAUAAAAAUUCGGUUUUGGAAAUUUUUUGUUGAAAAUAUAUCUUCAUUUCAAAAUUCAAAAAAAUUCAGUUUUUAUUUGAUUUUGGAGCCUUUUUAUUGUUGGAGUUGUUGAGUGAAUAUCUCACUCGCAAAAACAACUUUGAGCCUUCCUCUAUAAAUAAAAGGGCGAAGUUUCGGAACCAAAGGGGGGCUCCUUCAUUUGGUUUUCGAAAAGUUCACAAAAGAAAACAGAGUUUUGGUAAGGAGAAAAGUCAAAAGAAAAAAGGUGGAGAGAAGAGAAGAUACAGAGAGAGAUGACGUGAGGGAAAGCAGAAAAGUGAGAGUGAGAGAGACAUGUGAGAAAUAGUGUCAGGUGAGAGAAAGUAAAAAAAAAGGCAAAAAGAUGGACUACUGUUCAUCUUCCUCGUGAGUUUUUGUCCCUGCUACCUAUUUCCUCUGUGCUACCAAGACUGCUGCCGCUGCUCUUGAGCCCCCCAGUCGUUGGUUCCCUGCUCUGUCUCGCCGCAUCAAUAUCACCCAGAUUCACCGGAGAUCUGCUCUCUGCUCCACCAACAACCACACCACCGUUCGAAGCCCGACAAUCGCCUCGACGCCGACGCUUCUGCUCUGCUUUCACUGACAUCGCUUGACGACCCACGCCACCUCCACUUCGCUCGACGCCGCGAGCAGCAACCUGCUCAUUUCCACUUGUAGCGCCGCUCGAACAUCGCCACCACCGUCGCUCGAUGCCCAACGCUCUGCCCGACGAUCACACUAGUAGCCCGCGCUGCUCCGCCUCCGCUCGAUGCCCAACGCUCCUACAGCACCUCCGUCCGCGACCGCCCGGUGUCCGAUGCCCCCUCCUCUGUGCAACGAUUCUGCAGCCGCUCCGCACCUCCUUGCUGCUGCGUCCGCCAGCCCCGUGUCCUUCGCCUCUAUUCGUUGCUACACGCCCGAACAAGGCCACUUGUUGCCUCCCCUGUUUUGCUGCAGGUCUGGUUACUGUCGAACCUUGCCAGAGCUCCGACGGACAACCCCAGCUCCGACCACCGGGACCCAUCACCCUUGGCGAGUCACCAUCGCAACUUAGCCAUUACUGCUUCCUCGCCAUUUCUUCCAGUCUACCGUGAGUUAGACUAGGUGAACUUUUAUAUUUGAUUUCAUGUUUUUUUUAUUAUUUUAACUUGAUUUAUUUUGAUUUAUUUUUAUUAUCUGAUUAGGAAAUUUGUCAUAUUAAGCCAUGAUAAUCAAAAAUAUUGAACCGCGAGACAGCGGGUUAGAUUUUUGAUUAUUUCAACUUUUUAUGACAAAUUUAUGGUUUGCUUUGCAUUAUUGACUCGCAUUAAAAUAUAUGUCAUUGAUAUACAUUGAUGGAUUAUAUUUUGGUGCGUUAUCAUUAUUUGCUCCUCACAUAUUAUGCAUAUCUAGAAUUAAAUACUUAGGUCCAUAUGCAUUUUAUAUUUAAAGCUUUGCAUUUUUAAGAUUCAUAUAGAAUUAGGAUGAUUUUCCUUUAAUAAAACCAAAAAAAAAAAGAGAAUAAAAAAAUGUUAUUUAGAUCAUAUAAAGCACACCACAUGUUGCACUCUAGUUAGUGGGUCAUAGAUUAAUGUUUUAAUACUCCCAUCAUGUAGUUUUUUUAUUAAUAAAAAAAGCCAAAGAUUAUUAUUGCAUAAUUAUGUUGUUUUAAUAAGAUUAUUAAGUAAUUUAAAAAAAAAGAUAAAAAGAAAAAAGAAAACACAAAAUGUCAUUUAUUUGGUUAGUUAAUAAGUUAGUUCAUAAUUAAUCCCAUUUUAUGUCAUCAUUGUUUAGUGUAGGUUGCAUACAUUAAAAAAAAUCAUAAAAAAAAAUCAUAAAAAGAACAUGCAUAUAGAAUUAUUAUGUCAUUCAUCCCAUAUCAUGUAGUACAUGCAUAUUUAGGAUUAUAUAAAUUAGAUUGCACACAUAUGGUGAUAGUUCAAAUUAUGCCAUAUAAAUCGCAUUUCAUAUAUCAUUAAAGUAAAACUCAUGCAUAUUAAGUUUAGGUUAAGAUUGCAUAAUAAUAAAAAUUAGGUGUCAUUUAGAAAUCAUGUUUAGAGCAUGCAUUUUUAUUAGCAUUUUUUAUUGAUUGUUAUUUUAUUGAUUGUGCACCCGCAUGACCACCAUUUGCAUGUUAGUAGCUUAAGUUAAAAUUAAUCGACAUUGCCUGCAAAAUAGUUUUGAAUUUAAUAUAAAAGGUACCGAAAAGGCGUUACACUAAUCUAGCGUAACCAUGUCCCCGGACCUACUGAAUCUCUGGUUCGCAAAAGUAAAGUAUUCUCCCAUACUUUACUUGGGUUUCUAGCCAACCUUAAUUGGUUAGUGGCGGCUCCAAAUUGAAUAUAAUUGCAUGUAUUUCUUAAUAUCAAGUAGUGAUUUGUAGGAUUUGGGUGGGUCCGUGCCAAGUUUUCGGACUUAGUAAUCCAUUAGCCUUCUUUAGGUAAUUCACCCUUGGGAAGGUCGUGACAACACGACCGAUGAAUUGGUGGAGAGUGCCGCGAGCGAUGGGUCUGGGAAGAGGUUUGCUGUCAAGGACACUAACAUCUCGAGCUCGAAGCGGCUAUACACGCUCGCUCAGUGCACGCCGGACUUGACGUCAGCGGAGUGCAAGGCGUGCUUGCAAGGGGCCGUCAAGAAUCUGCUCACAGAUAAUGAAAGAAGGAGAGUGUUGGCCCCGAGCUGCAAUGUUAGGUUUGAGCUUUACCAGUUCUAUAAUGAGACUGUCUUCCAUGAAGCAUUGGCACCGGGGCCAACACUUGCUCCACCUCCUGCGGCGGUUGUAGCUGCUCCUCCGUCUUCAACAGUGAGAUCUAAAGGAGCCAGAGUUAUGUCUUCUGGGGUUCUUUGUACCGCCGGCGUAGUGUUUUUCCUUUUUUCCUUUUUGAGGGUGACGAUAAGUUGGGGUUGUUGAAGUAGAGUUACUUUCCGUUCAGUGUAAUAACUGAGGACAGAAUAAUGAAAAAAAGUACGUGAGUACCCACAGUUCUUGAAUGUGACUCGUUUGAGGACAAGAUGAGCAGAUGCAAUCCUCCAUGGUAGGAGAGUAUGCUGGAAAUAUACCAGGACUCAUCUAUUAAAUUUAAAUAAUGUGCAGAUCUAAGCGUGCUUAUACGAGCGGAUUAAUUUAGAUAUGCAAAAUUUACCACAUCACUUAACAAGUGAAUUUAGCAAGCAACUUGUAGUAUUCCUCGUUGCUAAUAGCAUGUGUUGAAAAAGUAUGUUGAGUUCAGCCAAACUCGUCCUCAGUCUCAUUUAACUUUAAUCGGAUAAGUUUUAGGGGUUUCUGUUGGGCCUUUUUAAAUGUCGACACCAAUCCCUUUACUUUUGUCCUGAAAUCAAAAUCGCCCCUCCUUUUUUCCUUUUUAUUUUUUGGUUGGGAGGAAAGGUUUUGGGUGGGGAUGAUUUCGAUUUUUUACUUGUGUUAAUCAGUGUUCACCAUGUGGAAACUAGUAGAACGAGUUUGGAUAUUAUUUUUGCAUUGGGUUUGCUUGUUUUUUGGGUAUCUCCCUAUCACUUCAUGAUGGUUGCGGCCUCUGCUACUUACCACCGUCGUUCAGCGAGGUCCACUCUGCCAAUUUUUUAUCUUUAUCAUCUAUGGAUAUAGCUAGAUUGUGGAUUUCAUCACGAUAAACCUAGCCGAAGCUUAUCUAUUGCAUCUCAUCACUCAUCAAGCUCGCCGGAGCUUGAGCCACCAUGGUCACCACCGGGGGAGUGGCAAGCUAAGGUCUCAUGGCUUUUUAGGCCAUCCUAUCACUGCAACUAAGUUAAUCUAGCAAAUUAUUUACCACGUGUAUGAUAAACCAUCAAGUUUUUACAAGUAGUAAUUACAGCCAAAGCUGGCCCACGGUAUAUAGCCAGAGACUUUCUCACAACCUUUUUCUAGAAAACCUUAAUUUGACCCGGCAGCUUCAACAUUUUAUAAAGACCAUUCCCAUUGAAAGAUCAACUUUAAUUAUUCUAGCUUGUACGGUCGGUUCAUCUUUUGAUCUAGUCUUUCCCAGAAAAAAAAAAUAUAUAUAUACGCACUUGCAAAAGGCAAAUGGGGAUCAUCAUCCUUCUGGCAAAUUAAUUUUCUCAAUUUAAGUUUUUAGUAAUUAUUCGUCAUUAUCCUCUAAGACGUUAGGUAGAUUCCAUAUAAUAAUUGUUUGCCUCUCAUUCCAACUACAGAGAUCAAAUCCAAUAAUAUUAGGAUACUUUUUCAGCACAAAAGUCACUGAUCUCCUUACAAAUAACUAAUUAAUUAUGAAUUUAUCGACAAAUAACCGAGCUGUUGAGAUAAUAACAGUGCUUAUGUAUCUAUUUAUCUAUUAUGUCAUGAAAAAAAGCGGUUCCUACUUUUGAUUAGACCAAAAAGCCAGAAAAAAAAAAAAAGAACUAUGUACAUAUUGCACUUCGAUCAUGUUAACGUUGAUUAAACGUAUUAUCAAAUGGAAACUUGUAUAUGAAGGGGAAGGACGAAAAUACUAAGUGGAGUGAAGUCAAAUCUGUUGUCGUUUGCAAAUCACUUGGGCCUACAUCCCUAUCCUUGACUAAUCUUUCCAAGUCUCCGCUCGACUUUGACAACGAAACGGUCCAAGCUCACUCCACAUCAUUUAGCUUUCGAGAACCCACGGCAGCGUUAGUCGAAUUCAAUCCAUGCCGCAAGUCUCGUGACCACUAACGUCAACGCUCAUGUGAAUAUAAUUAUUAUGUUUAUUUUGUAUCUAUAUUAUAAUAAAUUCGUACCAUCAAAUUUGGUAGUUUUUUUUUCUAGCUCACCCAUAUAUAUAUAUAUCAUGUUUACGUUUUGCUAGACUUCUAGAAUGAUGAUGAAUGUUUACCAUAAAUGGACUCACCUCUCGAUGGUAUGAUAGUGUCAUUAAAUAAUGCAUGUGGAUUUGAAUCUAACUUACAAGAUGCGCUUUCGAAAGAGUGAUACAAUUUAAAGUUAGGAAUUGCAAUAUUAGACAAUACUUGAUUGAGAAAUAUUAUCAAUUUUAAGUCAAUAUAUGAUAGACAAAACACCAAUAUCUUAAGCGAAUUAGGUUAUUAUGUUACACAGUUGCCUAGAAAAAAAAUCAGUCGUGGUGGAUCUCCCAAAUAAAAUAGGCGUGACUCUAAAGAAACGUUUCGGAGGGGUUUAGGUUUGAUCAUUCCUUACGGUGAUUCAUGGUUGCCUUUAGAUUCGCUUUCAUGUCAUCUCUCUCUCUCUCUCUACAACGACAUCACUGCGAUACAUGUUUCGACUUUUCUUUCUUCCAGUCUCCACGUGGAGCCAAAUUAGAGCGCAAGCCACGCAAUUGACUUCGGUCAACGACCUCGUACGAUGGGCAAAUGCCAAAUGCUGUCUUCCAUCCUCACCGCCGGUCUUACUCUUCUGUCUGCCACCUAACCACAGCUCCGGUCACUUCAGGGAAAAUUCCACACGGUUUGUCUUGCCUUGUCAAAAGUCGUUUUUGACCUGACAAAAGCUGUAUACUAGUCUUUUUCACUGUUCAAGACCGUGGAAAAGUAUCAAAAAAUUUUCAAUUUGUAUUGAUACGAUAUAUUUAUUAUUCGUUGAGACUUUAUCAUUAGAUAUUGAUUAAAAAUCUAUCUCUGUGAGUAUCGGAAUGCAAAUAAUAUCGACAUGAUGCCCAAAUGAAUAAUAAUAUUGUUUUAAUUGAAAAAUCAUCUAGCAAAAUUUUCAUAAAAAUUAAAUAUGUCACAUAAAUAUUAGUUAAGUUUAGAAUAAAUGUGUCAAAAUAUGCAUACUUUAAGAUUUUUUAUGUCAUAAAAAAAUUAAGAUAAAUUUGUCGGAGUAUAAUUUGGGAUUUUUGAUAAUUUUUUCUUUUAUCAACUCUAUAUGUUUUAAAACUUUUAGCUAUGCCUUAUGGAAAUAAAAUUUCAAAUUCUAAGGCAAUGUUUGGUAAGACUGUUUCGCUAUUUUUUUUUUUUUUGAUAAUCCAGGAAACCCCAUAAGCCAGCGACUGGCGAGUAAACCCUGGGGGAGUAAACCCUGGGGGAGCAACUGCAGGACCCAACACCAUAAUACUCCAAGUAAGAAUCUCUAAUAACGCUUUUAAGAUUCGAACUCCUCCCCUUCAUGAGGGGGAGAGAGCCCAAGCCAGCUGCGCCGCUGCAAGUGAUGGUAGUUUCACUUCUUCUUUUUUUGUUAUUUUGCUUUUUGAAAUAAAAAAAAUAGUUUGGUAACGUCAAUUAAUUUUUCAAUUCUUUAGAUUAUAUUAAUGGUUAGGAAAUAAAUUUGGAAAAAAACAAGAAAUAAAAAAAAUUACUUCUUUAUUUCGAGAAACAAAAAGAGAAGUAAGAUUAUUUUAGACACCUAAUACUUGUCUUUACACAAACAACACAAAGUCCGGUCUUUUGAUUCUAUCCGAGUCCCCUUUUUGGAAUAAAAAUAAUAAAUAAAUAAAUAUUCAGAAAUUUAGGAAAAUUUUAGAAAAUAGAUUUUGAGUAGUUUUACUUGAUUUUAGUAUUAAAUCUAGUUUAUAAUUAGUUUAACAUAAAAAAAAAAUGUGAAAAUAUGUUAAUGAAAAUUGGAUUCAAAAUUGAAUAAAUAUUUAGGGUUUUAUUAUAUGAUUUUUUGAAUGCUGUUUUCUUUUAGGCUACGUUUAGCAAUGAUGAUAAAAUUUAUCCUAUCUUACAUUUAGUGUCUGCUCAAGAUAAGAUAAAGUCAGAUAUAAGGACGAUAUAAAUCGAAUAAAAUUAUCUCAUAGAGGAGGUCAAAUAAAAAAUAGAUAGGAUUUAUAAUAUCCAUAAUAAGAAAGUUAUUUUUCUCGAAUGAUAAUCUUCUUAAAUUACAAAAUUAAAAUUAGGCCUCAUAUGGGUGUAUUAUCCUCUUAAUUGAGGUUUAGGGUGUAUUCUCUAAGAUUUUUAUCUCACCCUGUUGUGAGUUACCAAUUUUAGGACCGUAGCGUGGAGGAUCCAAAGCCCGAGGCUAAAGGGUCUAGAGUGUAGAUUUUUUUUUUUUUUUUGGUCAGUCAUACUAUAUUCCUACUCUACACUCACUCUCAGACUUUUGCCCUGCCUCUUGCAGGGCGUGGGAGUCGAAACCCACUCUUGAAACUUACGCGUCCCCUACCCCCAUCCCCCCCUGAGAAGGUGGGGAUUUGAACCCCUCACCUCCCCCUUCCAUAUUGGAAGGGUGGCCACUGGGGCGAACCCCUAGUGGUUAGGUCUAGAGUGUAGAUAGCCUAGAGGUUUCUUUUUGAGUCAGACCUCUUGUGUAUAAACCAAAUGUGUUUAUAAAAUGUGUUUUGAUUAAAUUGAUUAUCCUGCUUUUCUAUCCCAUAUUUGUUUUUUGUCUAAAGAUUAUUUAUUUCGCUUCCACAUGUGCAAUAAAAUGAAUGGGUCAGCGAUGCACUUGAGAACGUUGCAAUUCGAUCGAUCACUGAGAGAUAUGCACACACUCGAGGUUCAGGGCAUGACAAUGAAGGAGAAUUUGAGAAAGAAGAAGAAGAAGUUGAUGUUGGAAGAGGAACAAGGGGCCUCAAAAGUCAAGAUUAAAUAUCUAAAACACUUGAGAGCAACCCCAUAAUUCUUCAGCCAUGACCAACUGCCGAUUUCCCUCCCGAAACUUCUCAAACAAGCCACUUUUGAGGUCCAAAUGUUGCAGCCCCACAGCCCUAUGAAUUUGUUGAGUUCCAUCUUCAAUUUCUUCACAAAUCUUCACCAACUCAAUCCAAUUUGGUGGCCAAAGUGCCAAGGUAGCAGCCCACACAAAUUUCCACAAUUUCCCUCACCAUUUGAUCCAACUUGAAGGCAAAAAAUCUACCAAAGAAUGGCCAUAUGAAUUUCUUAAAUUUAAAUUGUCAAAUUUUGAAUUUUCGCCAAAAAUCAGGGCUCACCAAAAAUUCUUCAAAGGAUGAAACAAUGUCCUAAAAAUAAAUCAUGACAUGCUGGAAUUUUUGAUUCCUGAAACUGGGUUCAAUUUCGUGGUUAAUUUCGAUCGGACGUGAUAUUAGCGUGACCUAACCUACAGGAUAACUUUUAGAAAAUUUUAAUGCGUUUGACCCAUGGUUGAUUAUUUUUUAUCCACAUUGUGCAUCUUCGACUCAUUGGCAACUCUCGGUUGUCUUAAAAACCUCAAAGUUUCAAUUACGAGCACCGGGUAUAGAAUCGACAGAAAAAUUGGUUUAGUACCGUUCGACACAAAUUUUGCAAUUAGAUGGAAUCACCCACACUUUAAUUACGUGCCUCUGUCGAAUCGACCUAUCUCCGGUCUCUAAUCAAUUAUAACAAUGCCAUAUUAACCAUUGCAAAUUAGUAUAGUCAAACAGUCGAUUUCUGAUCGAAUUCUCAAGUCGGUUGUGUUUAUAUUCCUUAAUAACUUCACCUGAUAUAUUUUUUUAUCUUGUGAGUAGCUAACUCGGAGAAAAAGAUUGUAGGCGUGUCAAUGAAAAUCCCAUUUCAUUUGAUCGAAACAGAGUCAAAAAUCAGGAUGUCACAAUGAUAAAGCUCAUUCCUCUAGCAAAGCUCAAGCUUUGUUGGAGCUCAAUUAGGGUCCAUAUAGAAUGAUUGCUUGUUGGGGCAUUAGGAGAGCCAGCAUAGAUGAUGAACACUGCAACUGAGCUACAAAAAUUGAUCCAAGGUGGAGAUUUAUUAGAAUAUUUUGAGUGUCUCAAGAAACCCAAUUUAAGUAAGUUUCCUACUACAAAUAAGUUUUUUAGUUUGAGUGAUUUCCUAGUUUGAGUAGGUUUCAUAAAAGGAGUUUCUUGUUUUGGACAUAAAUAUUAUGUAUAUAGAGCACACAUUAGAGUUAACAAAAAGAUUGUUAAAACUUAAUGUUUGAGAGAUUUCCAAAUGAGAUCUCUAUAUGAGAUUAUGAGACAAAACUAGUACAUUUACUUUGGGAGUAGUUGGGGGCUAAGAAAUUCUUGAGCUAUUGAGCAAUUGUAUACUCGGUACUAUGUGAAUUCAUAAUGGAAGUGGCACACUUUCCUAGUGGAAUAGAUAUUGACACUCAAACUAAACAACAUUUAUUUGAUAAUUUUCCUCUAUCACUUUGGUGCCCCUAGUCUAGUAAUCAUCUACAUGAUACACAAUAAGUUUUUGCGUAGACUUAAUCUAAUUAAUUGUAUCAAUCAUAUAUUAGAAAAUAGCAAGAACAACAAGUCCCGAGUAGAAAAAGAAAAAAAAAACAUUCUUACCACAUGCCAUUAGUAGAACAAGUCUAGAUUCUGAUACUUCUCUACGAUAUUAUUAAGAAUGUACUAUGAUAAAUAGAAUUUGUUACAUGUCAAUUUCCCAUUAAUUAGCUUUACCACUGGGAUACCACUAGGCUGGACUUUGCUUGCAUUUGUAGCCAUUGGAUGACAACCAUUUCAACAUUAGUCACAAAGAUAUAUUGACAAUCCAACGGGUGUAAAUAUUCAGGGCAUGAAUGUCUAACCCCAUAAUUAUUUAACAGAUUUCGCGGUCUGGAUUAGGUUCCAUUUAAUACACGUACUUAGUUUUCCAAAUAGUUCCCACGACAAAGAUAUAUAGGAGAGCAGACCGUGGCUCUUCUUCUUCCCAUAAUUCCAUGCCUGUGCAGCAAGACCUAGGAUUCAUCAACAUAAAAAUGUGUUCUUGCUUCACUAUCUACCUCUCUCCUCUUCUUCUUCAUUAAUUUUGUACGUACUGAAUCAACACCCACGUUUCUACGGCAUUACUGCCCGAACACCACCCUCUUCACUCCCAACUCCGCCUACCAAUCCAACCUCAACACCCUCCUCUCUUCCCUCGCCUCUGCUGGCGCCGAUGGCACUGAUGGCUUCGCCAAUGCUACUGUCGGCCAAAACCAUCCCGACCAGGUCUACUGGCUCUUCCUCUGCCGCGGUGACAUCGACACCUACAUGUGCGGCGACUGCGUGGCCACUGGAAAACAGGAUAUACUCCAAAGAUGCCCCAACCAGCGAGUCUCCGUGAUCUGGUACGAUGAGUGUAUGUUGAGGUACUCCGAUGGGUCCAUCUACUCGGUCAUGGAACAAGUGCCUUCUUUCAAGACGUACCACACCAGGAACAUCACCAAUCCGACCCAGUUCAUGCUAGUCCUGGGAGAGACAAUGGAUGACAUCGCUGUGAGGGCCUCAGUCGGCAAGUCAGGGAAGAAAGUUGCGGUCGCAGAGGCAAACUUUACGAGCUUGCUGAAGCUGUACACGCUCGCACAGUGCACACCAGACUUGAUGGUGUCCGAGUGCAACACAUGCCUCCGGGCGGCAAUCACGGGCCUCCCACAGGGGAAGCAAGGUGGGAGGUUAUUCACUUCGAGCUGCAGCAUGAGGUUCGAGCUGUACCCAUUUUAUAAUGCCUUGGCCAUGGCAGCCCUGGUGCCUCCGCCGUCCUACCUUCGUUCUCCUCCUGCUCCCGUGACCAGAAGUAAAGGUAUAUAUGUUUGUUUUUGUUAUUUUUCUUCCGCUAUAACAGAAAGAUCUGUCCAUUUCUUUUUCUUUUUGUUUGUUGAACUACUUAUCCUACUUUAUAGUUCGAAUAAGUGGAGUGAACCCUUUUUAAAAAGGGAAGAAAACAUGAUAAGCGCCAUAAUCCUUGUAUACGGUGCUAUAAAUGUUUAAUUGAUCACUUAAAUAUCUUAACUUUUAAGGAAUUUCACUUGAAUAACAUCAAUGAUUUUACUAGUAAAAAAAUCUAACAUGUCAAUAAUUUCAUAAAAAAACCUAUCUGAUAUGGCUUGCCGAUAAAAUGAUGUUAUCAAAAGGAUGUAGAAACUAGUCAUUAAGCCCUUUCUUGCCCCCAAAUUGAUGAAUUGGGACCAAGUCCAACUCAAACCCGAACCCUAUUCCUAAAUUAGGUCCAAUUACAACAGUCUUUGUCCUGCAAGUCCCGCCAAAGGACACCCCUCGGGCGAAGGCGCCGUUUUGGGUCCUCAAGGCUCGCCACGAUGGAAAUCAUUUUGAUUUGUGGUAACAUAGCUUUCUCUUCGUGGGAUGGACCAGUGUCAUGUGUAGUGACAUUGGAGAUUUUCCCUUUGCGGGUGCGAGCUCAAGUAGCAGCACUCAGGGCCAUGCGGAAUAGGGUGUGCAGUGCGCUUGUGGCAAUGUCUUUCAUUUCAAUUUCUCGAGCAAUCAGUUGCUUGUGAAUUUGGCGCAAGGAAAGGUUUUUUUUUUUUUUUUAGCAUUUUUUGCAUUUUUUGUCAAUUGCAAGGAAAGGGUUAAACAAUGUUCUUUCUGCACGCUUUUAAUGAUAUUAAUUACCCAGUGAGCCACAUCAAAUGAUUUUAUAUUAAAUUAAUGCCGAAUCAGAUUUUUCAACAGAAUAAAUUACCGAAGUCAUAAAUAAACAUCUUUUAAAAAUAUUAUGACAUUAAAAUGAUUGAUUGAAAAUUCAUGGCACUUGUAAUACAAUUUUCCAUAUUUUAGAUGAUGCCUCUUAUUGAGAUGAGCCUGCAAUAAUCUACAAGUAAUUUUCAAGUUAAACAGUAAUAAGUAAGAAAGAAAGAAAGGUAGUUGUCAAAGUAAUUAAAAUGAUUCGACGCAAAAAAAAAAAAGUAAUUGAAAUGAAAAUAUAAUUUCGAAAUAACCUUACUUUAAGUCAAACACAAUCAGCAAAAUUUGUGAAUUAUCAAGCCAAUCCCAAAUCUAAGCAUUUUGAAUAUGGAUGAACCAAUUCAGAAGAAUAAAGAACUUCAAUGAUACGGAUGAUUGUUGUCCUCCGUGUAAGUCCUUAGCAAUUAUAUGUAGCCAAAUCUACAGUAUUACAAACUUGUGUGUGUAUGGGGACACACACUUACAACAUAAUAUCAUUGGUUUUAGCUUUGUUGGCUUAGGAUGAAUAUUAAGGGCCAUAUAGCUAGUCAUUACCCUAUUCUUGUAUACAAUAGUAAGAGUGGACACAUUCAAUUUCAGUAUGACAUCCCGAUUUUCAAAUUCUAUUUUCAAUAAAUUGAGAUGGGCAUUUCAUCUUUGCACAUAUAGUUAUUUUCUUUGAGUUGGCCACUCAUGUGAAAACUAAUCUAUCAAGUGAAGUCGGUAAGAAAUUCUAAUGCAUUAGAUUCGAGAAUUUGACUAGGAAGCGACCUUUCAACCGAGCUAAUCUGUAAUGGUCAUUAUGGCAUAAUUAAAAAUCGAUUAGAAACAGGAGAUAGGUCAACUCAAUAGAGGCAUGUGAUCAAGUGUGGGUGAUUUCACCAAAUUACACAAUUCUUGUCGGUCGGCACUAGAUCGGCUUUUCUAUCAAUUUGGUACCCUGUGUCCGUAUUUGAAAUCUUGAGAUUACCAUGACAAUUGAGAGUUGCCAAUGUGUCAAAGAUGUACAUUGUGGCUUGAUCAACCACAAAUUAAAAUUUCUAAAAGCUACCCGGUAGAUUAGUACGCACUAAUAUCAUGCCAGAGUGAAAUUAACCGUGAAUUGAGAUCGAAUUCAGAAUUGGAAGUCUAGGUAUGUCACAAAUCAUUUUAGGAUCAUUAACUCAUCUUCAGAAGAUUUUUCAUACAAUCAGAAUUUUUCAGCAAUUUAAUCAAAGUAUGGCUAAUUUGGCUCGAGAAAUUAGUAGGCCCGCCCUUGGUCGUGCUUUUGGGACUUAAGUUGGUUCUAUGGACAAGUGAAGAUGUGAAUUGAAGUGUGGUGACAUUGGAUUAAUUUUAUGGACUUCAUUUUGGUUCAAUUGGAAGAGAAUCGAAUGGAAUUGAAGAAUUUAAUGUACAAGAUUUCAGUGCCACGGUGGAAAAGGAAAUUGCAACCAUUGGAAGAGGUUGUGGAGGAUUGAGAUAGUGGAUUGUGACAUCACAAGUGAUGUCAUGGUGUGGGGGCAAGAGUGGCUAGGAUCUUGACAAGUGGAUGGUGGGGAUUUGCUCUCAAAAGAUGGGACAUCACUCACCAAUCAACUCCAUCUUCAACCUUGGUCUUCUUGGAUUUUGAAUAGAGGAGAGAGAGAGAGGAGCUGCGACUGGAUCAGUAGCUCGACGCCCCCCUUCGCUGCUCGUCCACUCGUCGCAGCCGUCACCGUCGUCGCCCACUCGCACGCAAAGCCCCAUGUGUGCACCUCGCCAGCUCGCUGCUCCACCGCUGCUUGUGAGACCUCGAUCCACUAGCACCGUCGUCUAGCAUAGCGAGUAGUAGCUCAUCGUCGACCAGGGCCACUGUGAGCCAGCCAAAACCAACUCGUCGCCAGUGCCGCUUCUCCUCUGCUCGCACGACCAGCGGGCUUGCGCUCGUCACAGCCGUUGCUCGCGCAACAAGGACCCUCCAGUAUCGUCAUCCGACCGUCCAGCCGCCCAUUCAUCAUCGCCAAGGCCCCUAGAGGCCUCGCCUAGCCAUCGUGAGCCAUCGCCUGAGCUUUUGCCCCUCUCCUCCGCCCAUUUCAACCUAAACCGACAUCGGAUCCGCUCUUCUCGGCCCCAAAACAGUAGCUGGAAAAAUGGGUAUUCUAGCUCGGUUUUGGCCCGUUUUGGCUGGCUUUCCAACCCCAGAUGCUUGACCCGCCUUGAGGAAAGUCGAUCCCCACAACGUCCCCGUCGUUUUGGUCCAAUCGGUUUGUUAAUCGAGUGAGUUUAGCUCACUAAAUCUUGAUUGGAUGGUUAAUUAUGCUUAGGGAUGUUUAGUUUAUGUUAAUUGUUAGUAGGUGCUUAUUUUAAUUUAUUUAAGUGUAAAUUAUAUUGAGGUGCUUAAUUAACUUAAAGUGUGUUUAAUUUAAGGCUAAAUGAAUGUUCAUAUUAAUAUAAGCUUUGAUGUGACUUAAAGGAAUUAUUUUUGAUUUAUUUAAGUAUUCCAAAAUUAUUAAAUAUUUUAAUAAUAAAUAUUUAUUCGAAAAUAUUAACAUAUUAUUAUUUAAUUAAUUUCGGAAUAAAAUUAAUUAUUUAAUAAAUACUGAAAAUUAUUUCGAGACCUUAUUUCCUCAGAAUUUCAUGCUGAUCGCUGCUGUGUAUUCAUAUUAUUAAUUUGAUGAGUGGAUAUUGCAAAUUGAGUGAUGAUUUGUGCAAUUGAUUGCUGAAUUAUGAAACUGAGUGGUGAUUAUGAAAAGUAUAUAAUUUCUUCAUAAAAUCCCGAGUGUUGGGUUUGACACCAAAAAUGGAUUUUAAGUAUUAUAUCAAGCAGUGGGGUUUGAAAAAGAAUGGUGUUAGUUUUUUUGGUUCGAAUCCGAUUGUGUACCCACUCACACAACUACGUUCUCAAAUGUUUUUAAUAUGAAGAAAAAUGGCCGAGAUCACUAUUUUAAGUGAAAGCAUUGAGUGAAAUGCAAAGUGUCCUGGGCCGAGUAUGAUUUUGUUGUGUGAUAAUUAAGAGGAAUUUGUCUUAGGCUGUUGAGCUGGACUUGCCCCUAUAUGGGAUGCCCACAUAGUGGUUGCGGGUCGUAGUUGAUUUUGGACCCAUGCUCCUUUGGGAACGCCGUCGAGAUACUGAUGAAGCCGUGUUCCAAGGUGGGGAGACGAUGCCUAGCUAUAUACCAGUAGAUAGCCGAACUACGAGUAAGCUAUGCCCUUGUGUGACAGUGAAUAACAAUUGGAUCGCACAUUGAGUGUUAUUGACGAGUCGAAUUAUGGGAUAGAAUUGUGUGGCAUGGUAUGAGACGUGUCAUAACGGUUUGGUCUUAUAAUCCGAACUCUUGUGGUCAUUCGAAAUGAUAUUGUUGACGUUCCAAUGGUUUAAGUUCCUAUUACUAUUUGUGAUUGACUGAUUUGAAUUGUACUAACCUGCAGAAAGGAACUGAGGCGAGGUAAAUUCUCUAUGUAGUGUGACUAGGCCAUCCUUGGGCUUAUUUUAUUUCUAAUAGGGGUUUAGGGGGUUGAACUUACUGAGACAAUAUCUCACCCCGUUGUGAGCCAAAAUUUCAGGACCGUAGAUGGUGGAACCCUCGGAGGCUGAUCAAUCAGAAGUGGGAUCGAAGAAUGAGUUCGACUCGUGGUCAUAGGACUCCCUUUUGUAGACUGCCCAUUUUUGGUAUAUGUGUAAACCCUAGUGUGGUUACCUUUAAAAGAAUGUUUGUUUAUGAAUGAGUUGGUUUCCUGCUUUUCUAUCCCGUAAGUUUUUUUCAUGGGUUUUAUAAUACGUUCCGCUUGUGCAAUAAUAAAUUAAUGGGGUCGGUGACACUACCUGGGAAUGUCGCAUUUGCAUGACCAUGGCGGAUGUUGGCGCGCUCGAGGUUCAGGGCGUGACAAUCAGUAUGUGACUUUAAUUUCCUAAUUCCUCAGUGUCUCCAUGUCCGCAUUUUCUAUAAGGAAAAAAAAAGGAAAAAAAGCUGCAAAUGCUUCUAUUGGUUAGGAGGAUCCGAAUGUUAUCUGCGGAACUAUUUUACUAUUGACAAAGGAAACACUUCUAGCCAUUAAAAAUCUAUAUCCUAAUGUAAUGUCGGCAUUCUGUGAUGCAUUUGAACUGAGAAAAGCCACUAUGUAUCUUGGCCCAACUGGAAAUUAAUUUAUUCUAUAAAAUGAACCUAUUUGAAGCAAACACAAAGAGAAUCGACACACAGUAGGCUUGGUUCACAUGCCUUCCUUUGUAGUAAUCCCGUGGAGAAAAGGACAUUACAUAUGCCUUUUUUUCAGUACACCAUUCACUUUGAUACAAUAACUUUUUAAUCCAUCACUUGAUUAUCAUAUAUCUUUAGAAAACGUUCACUUGAAUGACUCCAAAAAUUUCUUGUACCAAAAAAUUUGGCGUGGUAUUAAUUAAUAUAAAUUGGUCAUUGUGGGUUAUUGGAAAAAUGAAAUCAUUAAAAGCUUGCAGAAAUGUUGUUUAGCCUUUCCUUGCCCAAAAUUGAUGGCCAAUGUGGUUUCUCGGAAAACAAGAGGAGGGACAUCGCCGCAAGCCUGCUGCACACCCUCUUUUUUUUUGUCAUAACUGCAAACCCUAUUACCAAUGACCCUGAGUGCUACCGGCCUCAAAGGGACAAUUUCCGAUAUCAGAUCCAAAAUUCCAGUCUAAUGCCCAAGGUAAGAAAGCUAUAUUACCACAAAUUGGAAGGAUUACCAUUGUGAAAGCCCUUCAGAAUCAGCAGCAGUGCCACCUCUAAUGCCCUCGCUGCAAGGGCUUCCUUUGGCAGCACCCCCAAGAUAAAGACUCACCACCAUUGGACCUAAUUUGGGAUUAAGGUUUGAGUUGAAUUUAGCCUUAACUCGUCAAUUUGGGUCAAGGAAUGGCUAAACGAUGUUGUCUCUAAACACUUUAGAUGACAUCAUUUCUCUUCUCUAUCACGUCAGAUGGUUUUAUACUAAAGUCAUAUCGGAUGUUCUGGCAAUACUCAAAUAAACUUGAUGUUUUUCAAAGUAAUAACAUUCAAGCGAUCGACCUAAAAUUUAAGAUACCAAUGUGAGCGUGGUCCAAAAGUUAUUGUACCGGUCACGUCAUUUUCACCAUUUCUUGUUUAUCCAUUUUCAUCUCUUAUGAGAGGUGAAGUUUCACAAGGCAUUUUUUCGCAAAUACUUCUUGAUUCUGUUCCACAUUAUUCCAAUGACUCUGCACUUGUGGUCUUUGCUUGUCUUCUUCCUUCUUCAAGCACUUCAUAACAGCACAAUUUACAACAUACCUGCAUCAAUUCCACUGGUUCAGAACCAAACCCUAGUCUCUAGUAGUCAAAUCUUUGAGCUCGGGUUCUUCAAGCCUAAUGGAUCAGCAAAGCAGUACCUAGGAAUAUGGUACAAGAACAUGACUCCGUCCAAAAAAGUCUGGGUGGCCAACAGGAACAAGCCAAUUGGACACACAGAUAAAUCUGCGAGUUUAAUAAUUGGCAACGAUGGAAAUCUGAAGCUUCUUGAUGGGCAACAAAACACUGUGUGGUCGACUAAUGUCAUGGCAAAGUCGAAUUAUUCCGCAGCCCACCUUUCAGACUAUGGAAACUUUGUUCUUCAAGACAGGAAUGCGAAUAUAUUGUGGGAAAGCUUUGAUGAGCCAACUGACACUCUCCUGCCAAACAUGAAGAUCGGAGUAAACGUGAAAACAGGAAAGAAACGAAACUUGAUUUCUUGGAAAGGAGAUAGCAGCAAAGAGACUUUCGAGUAGCUCAGGCCAAGGCAUAGCAGAGUUCAAGAAUGAGAUCCUUCUAAUAUCUAAACUUCAACACCGAAAUUUGGUGAGACUCCUCGGUUGCUGCACCGAAAGGGAAGAAAAGAUUCUAGUGUAUGAGUACUUGCCAAACAAGAGCUUGCACGCCUUCCUUUUUGGUUUGUCUCACUCUUUGAAGAAUUUAUUUCUGCUUUCAACAAAAUUCAAUACUGAAACUUAGUUGCUUUUCUGUUUGCUACCUUGUUUAGAUUCAGAAAAGAAGGCGAAACUUAGUUGGGCCGUACGAUUCCACAUUAUUGAGGAGGUCGCGAGAGGGCUGCUCUACCUCCACCACGAUUCUUGCCUUAGGGUCAUACAUCGAGAUUUGAAAGUGAGCAACAUUCUCUUGGAUGAAAAGAUGAAUCCAAAGAUUUCUGAUUUUGGGUUGGCGCAGAUGUUCGAAAGCAGUCAAGUUUUGGUAAAUACUCACAAAGUUGUGGGGACACUGUAAGCUUUCUAUCAUUACUCUUAGGAGUACUUAUUUUAUGAGGCAAUAUAUAACCUUGAAAGCAGAUUAGCAGUUUAAUGCGCUCACUUUUCCCUUCAUACAUGUUCCUACCGUUGUUUUACUAUUACCGAGAAAACUCUUCCAUGUACAUCCAAUGGUUCCAAUAUGUGAGUUCUCUUCGAGGUAAUUAUAGACCAGCACUGUAGUUAUGAGAUAUACAGUACUCGUUGAGUUGGAAGUUUAUCAUCCUCUAAUUUUCUCACCUCUCAUGUCAUCGUUCUUAAGUCUAUGAUUUUUUGUUUGAACUGUACUUCGGAAACUCUCCACUUAUAUUAUUUAGUCUACAACGGCUACAUGUCUCCCGAGUAUGCUAUGGAUGGGACAUUUUAUGAGAAAUCUGAUGUUCAUAGCUUUGGAGUAUUGCUAUUGGAGAUUAUUAGCAGCAAGAAGAACACAAGUUUAGAUUACCCCGGGCAGCAUCUUAAUCUCCUUGCUUAUGUAAGUGUGAGAUCUAAUUUCAAACUAUUAUACCUCCAAAUCAGUUUUCAAUCAUGGGUAGUCCUUGAAAUAAUCUAACAAUUGACCAGUUGUUACAGGCUUGGCACUUGUGGUGUGAAGGGAGAGGAUUGGACCUGAUGGAUGCAGCCAUUGCUAACGCAUUUUCGGCAUUAGAAGUAAUGAGAUGUAUUCAGGUAGGGCUUCUCUGUACGCAAGACCACGCCAUAGAUAGACCCAACAUGUCAGCCGUAGUUCUAAUGCUGAAUGGGGAGUCCGAACUUUCACAACCGAAGCAGCCAGCAUAUACAUUUCAAAGGCUGUUGGCUCACCAAGUCCAAUCACAAGAAGGAAGCAUCCGGUCCAUGAAUACCAUCACCAUUACUACAGUUGAAGGAAGAUAAAAUUCUCAAAUGCAUUUUCACUAUCAAUUCAUCUUUUCAAGGAUUCAAUGUUCACCAAAUUAAACGGCUUGAAUAUGCAAUGUUUUGUGGCACUUUUAUGUGUAUAUAUGAUGUAAACAUAGAGAUCGUGAGGAAAACUGAAUUGCUAGCUCUCUAGUAGGAUAGUUUAUGCUGGCAAGGUCUCACAAAAGUUCACAACAUUUGUGUGCAUGGGGAUUUCUUACCCUUCUGCAUAUAGAAGUGUUCAGUUGUGCUGUUGAAGCUAGUUUCAAUUGCAUUUUUCCUAUAAAAACAUAUUUGGCCAUAAAAUUGCUUAGAUUUCACUUUGGUGCCCUUAGUCUAGUAAUCAACUAUAUAAUAUCAUAUCUACUAUUUAUAUUAAAAUAUAUCUCGAAUUUGAGUCAAUUUGAAAAUUUAAAAAUUCCGAAUUGGAUUUAUUACGAGCGUUUGUAAUCGAGCAAAUCAGAAUUCGGUAACGUCCUUUGACGAGUUGGGGUUGGCCAAGGAAAGAUAAUUGAAAAGGAGUUAAAAAGAGAAGGAAAUAAAAUCCAAGCGGUGGAAAUCAUGGUUCAAAAUUGGAAAAGUCCAAGUUGGACUUCGUUGACCGAAUCCAAAUUGGAUUCUGAUUCCUUCUCCAACUCGGCGUGGACUUCGGCCUUGACCGACCAACAUGGGACUUCCUUCAGGCGGUGGAUAUGUAUAUUUCAAAAGGAUUAUUGACUUAAGAGUGGCUUGGUCGAGAAAAGAAACGAUUACAAACGCAAGCCGCCGUUGUUGAUCUUGAAGAGCGUUUAUUCAAGCGGGUGCUUGGCGUUGAUUUUAUUCAUGAAUUACAUCCAAGAACAUACAAGUAUUCAAUUCAAUUAAAUCUCAUGAGGUCGAUGUUGAAGAUAUGUUUGGAGAUUUUGAUUCUAAUUGAUAAUUGAUUCUGAUUGAUGAUUUGUAUUGGUUGUAAUUGAUAGGAUAAUGUGGUUAUUUUAGGACAAGAAAGAUCAGGAAAAAUCAUUUACUUUUUUAUUGAAGGUCUUGUACGGUGUAUACAUGGUUGUAUCAUAUAUAGAAAAGAAUGAAGAAGAAGAUACAAUUUUUCCACAUUCUACAUUCUCUCUCUCUCUCUCUGUAUUCUUUCUUCUCGAUUUGUGACAUGGUAUCAAAGCAUUUCUUGAUCCUGGCAUAGCUUCUGCGCCUGAAAUAGUCUCUGUCUCUUCCCUGUUUCCUGUUGCUGCAUCACCCGUAGAAUAGGACAGCUUCCAUUCACCUUUCUUUCUCGAUCUCUUCUCUGUUUCCUGUUGCUGCAACACUCGUAGAACAGGACAGCUUCCAUUCACCUUUCUUUCUUCAAAAGCAAAUCUGCAAAACAGUUUUUUUAGAAAUCGUCCUCAUGACAAACCCAUAGACUCUUACCUCGGGAUCCAGUGAUCAGCCUGCAAGAGAAGCAACACCACCAAUCUCGCAAAUCUGGGAAUCAUCAUCUGCUGUCAUCAUUUCCGAAGAACAAAGGCAGCCACAGACUCAAAUGUAGCAUGCACAAUGGGUACCUAUUUCGGCUCAGGCAAAUUUAGGGCAACCCUAUUCAAGCCAACCUUACCAAUGGGUACCACAUCCUUGGUACUAUGGGAUCAACCCAAAUGCAUCAUUGCCAAGAUUUAGAUCUAAUGGAAGCCUACCAGCUAGCAACGGGGUAGGCACAAACACCAGUUCACAGCAGACGAGUGGAUCAGUCGAACCAGGCAUGGGAACAAAUCCCUACCCGGGUUCGGGUUCUUUUUUUCCAAAUGCAUGUAACACGAUCGAAUCUGAGGGGUCGGGUUUAAGAGCAAACCCAUACCCGAAUCCACCACCAGGUCUCUUCCCGUACUAGAUCUACGUUGCCAGUAGUCGCCCAGAGCCCGGUGUCACGCCCCGAACCCCGAGCGUGCGCACAUCCCACUGCAGUCGAUCAAAUGCGACAUUCUCAGGUAGUGUCGCCAACCCCAUUCAUUUCUUAAUGCGCAAGCGGAACGUAUUAUAAAACCCCUGACAAUAAAUACGAGAUAGAAAAGCAGGAAGCAAAACCAUAACAUAACACUUUCAUAAUUCAACAGAAUUACAAACAGAGGUCUACGGCCAAAAGUCUACAAAAAACCGGCUCUUAAAAAGGAAUUGUCCUACGACCUACAAGUCGGACACGUUCUCCAAUCUUAUGACUUUCACCUCUGCAACUCCUCAAGGCCAACCAAAGCUAUCAGGUCGCUCCGUCCACCAGGGACCUGAAAUUUUAAUCCCACAACCGGGAUGAGACGAUAUCUCAGCAAGUUCAACCCCUUAAACCCCUAUUAGAAAGAAAAUACGCCCCAGGUGGCCUAGCCACAUCACAUAGAAGACUUACCUUGCAUUAAUCUUCAUCUGCAGGUUAGCACAGUUUAUAUAAUUCAACCACGUGCAAUUAUAAUAACCAAACAACUGCAGCACAAUCACAUCAUCAGAACAAUUCGACUACUUGGAUCAUCUCAGUGAUCAAUCGACUCGGCCAAUUACAUGUCAUUCUAGCAAAUCAAUCAUUGCUCUUAAUUACGGCCCUAUAGAAAGGUUUAACAACCAGUGGCAAUCACGGCCCCACUCGGCAUGACCUUUAAUUAGGUGGUCCAUCUCGGCCUCACUAGGCACGACCUCUCAUAGGUGGUCCAUCACGGCCUCACUGGGCACGACCUCCAAUAGGUGGUCAAUCACGGCCCCAUUAGGCACGACCUCUCUUAGGUGGUUCAUCACGACCCUACUAGGCACGACCUCUCAUGGGUGGUCCAUCACGGCCUCACUGGGCACGACCUCCAAUAGGUGGUUAAUCACGGCCUCACUGGGCACGACCUCUAAUAGGUGGUCAAUCACAGCCAAUCUCCCAUCAAUUUCAACACUUGGAUUUUAUAAAGAAUCCCUAUCUAUCGCAAUCACACUCAAUUUGCCACAAUCAAUCAUCAAAUUCAAAUUCUAAAUACACAGCAGCGAUUGGCACGAAAUUCUGAGAGUUUAGGGUCCCGACGAAAUUUUCGAAUUUUAAUACAUAAUUAAAUUUAUUCCGAAAAUUAAUUAAAUAAUAAUAUCCAUAUUUUCGUCAUCCACACCCAAUUUAUAAUAUCCAACCAUCAAUUUCAAAAUCCGAAUACACAGUAAAGUUCGGCACGAAAUUCUGAGCAACCAGAGUCAAAAAUAAUUUUUUUUUUCGUUUUUUAUAUAAUAUUUUAAUAAUUUCGGAUUAUAAAAUAAUAUUAUAUUUUCCAGAAUUUCGAAGCACUUAAAUAAUUCAAAACUAAAAUCCUUUUAUGUCACAUCAAGGCUUAACUUUAAAUAACUUCUUUUAACUUUUAAUUUAAACACACUUUAACAUAAACCAACCUCUUAAUCCACUUUAUAAUUAAAUAUACUAAUCCACCCACAUAAACUUACUUAAUUUAAGCUAAGCACACUUAGGGCAUCAUUAACUCUCUAAUCAAGAUUUAGUGAGUUAAACUCACCGGAUUAGCGAGCCGAGCAGACCAAAACGACGAGGACGACGUGGGGGUCGACUUUCCUCAAGGCGGGCCGAGCAUCCGGGCUCGGGAAGGCGGCCAAAACGGGCCAGAUAGGUGCUACCAUCCCAUUUUCCAGCCCUCUGCUCGCUGCUGGUUGGGCGAGGAGACCGGUGCAGCUUGGGCGGUGGCUCACAGCGGCCGGCAGGAUCCCGGCGAUGGCUGUCGACUUGGGAUGACGGACGAUGGUUGUGGGCGUGCGAACGAAGCAAAGACAGGAGGGCGGAGCGGCUCGCGCACGAGACGACGAGCGUGCGGACGAAUGGCGACGGCAACGAGCUCCGACGACGGGCGAGCUGGUCGGGUGAGCGGCGAACGGCGGUCCGGCUGGGCUACAGCCAGCCUCGGCGUGCUCAGAUCUGCUAGUGCGUUCGAACCUAGAGAAGAAAAGAACCAAACGCCAGUAGGAGGGAGAGAGAGGCGGAGGUGUUCGCGGGGCUGCGACGGCGAGCGUGAACGGCGGACGGCAACGAGCGGGUGGAGGGGCGGCCGGUCAAGCGUCGCACGAAGGGACCGGAUGAGCUGGUUCUGUCCAAGCUUUCCCUCCCCCCUUUCUCUCUCUUCCCAAGCUUGAAGAUGAAGUGUGAUUGGUGGAAGUGAUGGGCCCUUUUUUUUUAGAUUAAAUCUACACCUUACACUUGUCAAUUUCUUCUUAACUUUGGCCCAACCACCAUGACCUAGGGUGAUGUCAUCUUCCACUAAUUUCAAAUCUUCCACAACUAUCUUCAAUAGGUCCAAUUUAUUUUUCCGCCAAGGCAUGAAACCUUGUGCAUUAAUUUCUUCAAUUCCAUUCAAUUCUCUUCCAAUUGAGUCCAAUUGAAGUCCAUAAAAUUAAUCCAAUGUCACCACACUUCAAUUCACAUCUUCACUUGAUCAUAGAACCAUCUUGAGUCCCAAAAGCACAACCAAAAGCGGGCCUACCAAUUUUCCAAACCAAAUUAACCAUACCUUGAUUAUUUUGCCGAAAAACUUGGCUUGCAUAAAAAAUCUUCCAAAGAUGAGUCAAUACUCUUAAAAUUAUUUGUGAUGCACCCAGACUUCCAAUUUCUGAAUUCGAUCUCAAUUCCACGGUUAAUUUCACUUUGGCACGAUACUAGCGCGGCCCAACCUACCGGGUAGCCUUUAGAAAUUUUCAUGCAUUUAACCUGUGAUUGAUCAUCUCAAGCCACAAUGUACAUCUUUGAAACAUUGGUGACUUUCGAUUGUCGAGGUAAUCUCAAGGUUUCAAAUACGAACACAGGGUACCCAAUCGAUAGAAAAGUCGGUCCAGUGCCGAUCGACAAGAAUUGUGCGAUCUGGUGGAAUCACCCACACCUGAUCACAUGCCUCUGUUGAGUUGACCUAUCUCCGAUCUCUAAUCGAUUUUUAGUUGUGCCGUAAUGACCCUUGCAGAUUAGCUCGGUUGAAAGGUCGCUUCCUGGUCAAAUUCUCAAGUUUGAUGCAUUAGAAAUUCUUAACAGUUUCAUCCGAUAGACUAGUUUUCACAUGAGUGGCCGACUCAAGGAAAAGAACUAUAUGCGUGCCAACGAAAUGCCCAUCUCAAUUUAUUGAAAAUAGAAUUGGAAAAUCGGGAUGUCACACCCGGCGACCCUCUUUUCACAACAAAUGCCGACGGACCAGAACUAAAGAUCAUUGCCCAACAGUUAACUGGACAAGAUAAUUACUCGAGUUGGUCGCGCGAGUUCCGGCGCGCUCUGGUAACGAAAGAUAAAGAGGGCUUCAUUGACGAAACGGUUCCAAUUCCGUCCGACAAACGUCUAGCGCGGCCUUGGAAAAAGUGUAAUCAGCUAGUCAGAACAUGGAUCGAAAACAGUCUCGCCCCCGAAGUCGCAGCGGGUCUUCCCCCAACGGAGGACUCAAAACAAAUGUGGGAAAACAUCAAGGAGAUGUAUGGAAAAUUAGAUCAAGUCAAAAUUUUCUCCUUGACGCAACAAAUCUCAACUUUAAAGCAGGAAAACAUGACUGUUGCUGCAAUUUUUAACAAACUUUCAAGUCUGUGGAACGAAUUGGAAGCGGCCGAAAAAAGAUUUGACUGGCCGGAGCCGAUUUUGCAGCAAUACAAAAAAAUGCGAGAUAGGGAGAAGGCAAUAAGAUUCCUCCUCAUACUAAAUGAAUCUUACCUUUCGUUUCGAUCACAGAUUUUAACCAUGGAGCCGAUGUCAAACCUUGGCCGCAUCUACCAGCUCGCUAUCCAGGAGGAGAGCCAGCAGAGAGCAGCAGAUCUUGGCAAAGAAAGCGACAGUGUGGCUCUGGCAACAAGGGUUUCCCCUCACCUGCUACAAAAAACCACAGGAGGAAGAAAUCUAGGAUUCCACGAAGGAACCACAGGAGGGAGAGAGGGUCGAGGACCCAAUCUAGGGUUUCACUAAAACCCUAGGCCUUUUAUACGGUCAAUCGAUGGCCGUGAUUUCUCUGGGCGAUCUAACGACUCAAGAUCAAUCCUCAGGGCUAUUGGAUUCGACGGCUCACAGAAAGGCGUGGCUCCUGAAUCAAACGAUCCACGAGCUGGGGGGCUUCUAUGGCUCCGAAGGGGGACGCAGGCACUUUAUUUCUGGGCCCGACGGCCCAAGAGGCCAUUUUUUCGCAACAUCAGAAAGCCCAUAAGGGGGUACGGUGGCCCAUGCCGUUAGCAAGCCCUCACCAUUUAUAAAACACAAUAAUCACAAGGGAAAUGGUAAGCUCUAUUAUGAAUAUUGUAAACACCCGCAUCACACAAUUGAAAAUUGUUGGAAAUUACACGGCAGACCGGGUGAAAAAGAAAAGGGAAAGUUUUCAAUUGUCUUUCAGGUGACAGGAAAUUCAGCUGACAAGUCAAUUACUCAUGGGGAAUAUCAAGAGCUAAUGGAAGCUCCAAAGAAAUUGGAUCGUUCUGACAAGGCAGGAAGUUUCACAAGUAUUUCUUACUGCCUAAUGAACUCAAUUUCAAAUGAUGAAUGGAUCAUUGAUACAGGAGCUAGUGAUCAUAUUGUUUGCAAUCCAAAAUUCUUUUCCAAUGUCAAUAAGCUAUCAUAUCCAAGAUCAGUUCAGCUCCCCAAUGGAAGUAGUACACAUGUUGGAAUGACUAGCACUGUGAAACUUAGUCCACUCAUUACCCUCAAAAAUGUCCUUUAUGUUCCCACUUUCCACUUUAAUCUCAUAUCAGUCUCUCGAGCUUGUGAAGAAAAUUCUUGUCGUGUCGCUUUUGACCAUGACAAAUGUUUAUUUCAGGCCCUUUUGAAUGGCAAACUGAUGGGCUUGGGUAGAGUCUAUCAAGGACUGUAUUUCUGGGUUGAUAUUCCAGACAAUUUUACAUUAUCCUCUGUUGCAUUCAAUAAAUCGUUGUGUAACACUUUGCCAAUGAAAGAAAUUUCCUUUAUCAUAAAAGAUUGGAUCACACUACUUAUUUCCCCAGUCCUCAAUGCUCCAUUUGCCCUUUGGCAAAACAAACUCGUGCACCCUUUCAAAAUAGUACAACUCAAGUAGACGAUAUUUUUUCUUUAAUUCAUGCUGAUGUUUGGGGACCAUAUCACACAAUAAAUUGUGAUGAUUCAAAGUUUUUCCUUACAAUUGUGGAUGAUUUUUUACGUGCCACUUGGGUCUUCCUCAUACAAUCAAAGGCUCAAGUUCUUUCUUAUCUUAAAAUCUUCAUUUCUUUAUCCAAAACUCAGUUUGGAAAAUCAGUUCGUCGCAUUCGCACUGAUAAUGGGACAGAAUUCUUCAAUAGAGAUUGUAAGUAUUUUAUAUCCUCAAAUGGAAUUUUGCAUGAAAGUACAUGCACUUAUACCCCACAACAAAAUGGGGUUGUUGAGCGAAAGCACCAUCAUCUCUUAGAAGUGGCACGUGCUCUUCAGUUCCAGGCAUCCAUACCUGAAGUUUUUUGGGGAGAUUGUGUGAUUACUGCAGCGUAUCUUAUAAACCGUAUGCCAUCACGCAUUCUAAAAGGGAAAACUCCGUUUGAAUUAUUGUAUGGAAGGAAACCAGAUUUGACUAAUCUCAGAGUAUUUGGCUGUCUAUGCUAUGUGGCCACAGUCGGAGCCCGAGAUAAAAUGUCUCCUCGGGCUAGGAAGUGUAUCUUCAUGGGAUAUCCCAACUUAAAGAAGGGUUAUAGAGUUUAUGAACAAUCUAUUGGAGAAUUCUUCGUCAGCCGGGAUGUGGUUUUUCAUGAAGACAUCUUCCCCUUUCAGGAUACUACUUCUAUGUCUGUAGAAGAUAUGAGAAUUGGUUGUCCAUUCCUGUCGGAAGAAGAUCUAUCUACUAGAGAAUCUAUUCUCAUUAGCUCCCCUCCAAAAAAUUAGAUAGUAGAUAGAGAAUUGUCUUCACCAUUGCCCUCACCACCGGCCAAUGGUUCAUAUGACGACAUUUCUGAUUGGGAACAACUCAUGGAACAUCAAUCCCAAGAGACAAACAGUGAAGAAUCUGGAAGUAUUGAAGAACCAUCCUUGAAGAUACUAGAUGAGCCACCUCGACAAUCAGGUUGAAUAAUUCGUCCACCAACCUGGACCAAAGAUUAUGUCUGUUCCUCAUCACUAUCAUCAGGUACCCGUUAUCCUAUAUCCUCAUAUGUGUCUUUCAAUCACUUAUCGUCAGAUUAUUUAUGCCGCAUUAGCCGAAUUUCUGAGGAAAAAGAGCCUUUAAAUUAUGACGAGGCUAUACAAGAUGAUCGCUGGCAAAAGGCAAUGGAGGCGGAACUCAAGGCCCUGAUUAAUAAUCGCACUUGGGAUAUUGUGUCUUUACCUUCUGAUCGUAAACCCAUUGGAUGUAAAUGGGUCUAUAAGAUAAAAUAUAGAGCAAAUGGCUCUGUGGAACGAUACAAGGCUCGGUUGGUGGCCAAGGGUUUUACACAAUGAGAAGGUUUUGACUACCAUGAGACAUUUUCUCCAGUCGCCAAAUACGUCACAGUCUGUUCUUUCUUAUCAAUUGCUGCCUUUCGUAACUGGUCAUUGCAUCAAAUGGAUGUCCACAACACUUUUCUUCAUGGAGAUGUAGAAGAGGAGAUUUACAUGGACCUUCCACAAGGAUUGCGAAGACAGAGGGAGUCUAAGGUAUGUCGUCUCCGCAAAUCUCUUUAUGGAUUGAAACAGACUUCUCGACAGUGGUACGCCAAGUUUACUACUGCACUUAUGGGAGUAGGGUUCCAGCAAUCCAAACAAGAUUACGCAAUGUUCACCUGGGCAAAAGGUGCGUCGGUCAUAUACUUGAUGAUUUAUGUUGAUGACAUACUCAUUAUGGGAAAUGAUGAUUCUACUAUUAAGAAGCUAAAGGACUACCUACAUUUGUCUUUUCACAUCAAAGACUUAGGGUCACCUAAGUAUUUUCUUGGAAUAGAGAUAGCUCGCUCUGAUCUAGGGAUUUCCCUUAGUCAAAGAAAUUUUGUGAUGGAGAUUAUAUCAGAAGUGGGACUAUCAGGAUGCAAACCAGCAAUCAUUCCCAUCGAACAGAAUGCCAAGUUGACCAGUGUUGACUAUGAUGCUGGAACGUUGCCCUCCUCUGAUGAUCCACUGUUGAAAGACCCGACAAGCUAUCAAAGACUUGUUGGGAAGCUUAUCUACCUCACUAUGACUCGGCCAGAUAUUUGUUAUGCAGUACAAACUCUCAGUCAGUUCAUGCACAGCCCAAAGCUAUCACACAUGAAUGCAGCUUUGAAGGUGGUGAAAUACCUAAAGAGUUGUCUAGGGCUAGGAAUACUCCUUUCCAGAAGAUGUAAUAUGGAGAUGACAGCCUAAUGUGAUGCAGAUUAUGCCACAUGUCCUAUGAGUAGAAGGUCUAUCACUGGUUUUUGCAUCAAAUUUGGGGAGUCACUGCUUUCAUGGAAAACAAAGAAACAAUCCACUGUAUCCUUGUCAUCAGCAGAGGCUGAGUAUAGAUCCAUGGCAAAGAUAGUUUGUGAGAUAGUGUGGCUUUGAGGCUUGCUUCUAGACCUUGGGGUACAAGUUAAAGGUCCGACAUUACUCUUCUAUGACAAUGAUUCGGCACUCAAGCUUGCAGCGAAUCCUGUACUACAUGAAAGGACAAAGCAUAUAGAAGUUGAUUGCCACUUUACUCGAGAGAAUAUCAAAGAAUGAAUCAUCGAAACCAGAGGGAUAAGGAUCAUGGAACAACCAGCAGAUAUUUUCACUAAACCCCUUUGUCAGAGAUAGCAUACAUAUCUUCUGAACAAGCUGGCGUCUUGGAUAUAUACAAGACAACAGUUUGAGGGGGAGUGUUGAAGAUAUGUUUGGAGAUUUUGAUUCUGAUUGAUGAUUUGUAUUAGUUGUAAUUGAUAGGAUAAUGUGGUUAUUUUAUGACAAGAAAGAUUAGGAAAAAUCAUUUACUUUUUUUUAAGGUCUUGUACGGUAUAUACAUGGUUGUAUCAUAUACAGAAAAGAAUGAAGAAGAAGAUACAAUUUUUCCGCAUUCUACAUUCUCUCUCUCUCUCUCUCUCUCUGUAUUCUUUCUUCUUGAUUUGUGACAGUCAAGAUGUGUAUGUAAUUUUGUCAUGAGACUGAAAAAUUGUUUAGUGAUAAAUUGCAGGGCUAAUCGAUGCAUGCAUUAUUAGGUGUAAUUAGGAUUUGAGAAACAUUGAGAGUUUUUUAAUGAUUCGAGUACAUAAUUUCCAUUAUACACUUGAUUUAUAGUAAAAUUCAUUGCUACUCUCCCCACGGAUGCACGUCACUACGACUAAACAAUAUAAAUCUAGUGUUCGAUUUAUUUUCUUGUUCUUUCUAUUUUAUUAUUCAAUCGCUCGUUUUCCACAAUAAUUUACAUAUAGUUCUGUAGACUACAUGAUACACAACAAGUUAUUGCGUAGACUUAAUCUAAUAAAUUAUAUCAAUCAUAUAUUAAGAAAUAGUAAGAAUAACGAGUCCCGCAUAACAAAUAGAAAUUCUUACUACAUACCAAUAGUAGAACGAGUCUAUAUUCCGAUACUUUUCUACGAUAUUAUUAACAAUGCACCAUGACAAAUAUAUUUUGCUAUAUGUCAAUUCCCAAUUGAUUAGCUUAAUACUGUAAUUCUAGUAGGAACGACCAUGCUUGCAUUUGUUGUAAUAAUUUUUCUAAUGUGAGCUACCUCAAUUAAAAUUGUAAUUCAGUGUUUUGCAGGAUUGAUCUAUUAAGGUGAGAUUUAAGGAUUCUUAAAAAGUCUAAUAUUCAAUUGGCUAAUGUGGGCUGAAUAAAGCCCAACCUGUGAUGAGAGGACUUGUUACUUAGAACUCUACAAAUAAUGUUCAAAUAAUUAUAAUGUACAAACAACCUUAUGUAAGGAGUGUAUAUAGAAUGCUAAAACUAAGAGACAGUCUCGUUGAGUUGGUGAUACAGAGGACAAUAAAUGAGAAGCACUUGGUAUUUGAAUUGGCAAUAUACCUUAUUUUUAAAAAAAAGAUUCCAAAUUAGGUGUGCAAAUCUUUUUUCCUCUGUUAUUGCGCUCUAAAUUUUAGGGAAUAAGAAUAGCAAGAGCAUUAUAAUUUUUGUACAGCACUCACUUGAGUACCAUAACUUUUUUUCACUCACUUAAAUACAACAUUGGAGUAAAAUUGAUCAUUUGAAUUUCACUUCUAGCAAAUCAUCCUACAUAAAUUUUUUUUAUUAAUUUCCAUUCCAAUGUGGAUUUUUAAUUUUGGAAUUUUUUAUUAAUUGUCCACACCAACGUUAACAAUCUCAUAUAGAACAAUUAUCAUCCAAAUCAUGGCACUUAAGUAAUCAGUUUUUCAAAUCUAUGGCACUCAAGCCGACGGUCGUCAGCGGCCGAUGGGCUUCUGACGGCAGUCGGCGGUGAUGGUCGGUGGCCGACAGUCAUGCAGCGGCGACAGCUGGUGGGCCAGCGGCCGGCAGCGGCAGCGACUGGCAGCGGCGAUCCAUAAGCAAGAAUAAAAAAUGAAUAAAUACAAAAAAGAAAUUGUUGCGUUACCAAACGCAUUUCUAUUCUUUUUCUAUUCCAAAAGUAGAAAUUUUGUGUAGUUACCAAAUAGGUUCUUUUACUUAGAAAUUGUUCCCCAUAACAGAAAUAGAAAAGAACUAUUUUUGAAAAAAAAACAAAACUCUUUCCCAGAACAGAAGCAUUGUCAUGCGCAACCUUAAGGUAAAAUGGGACAUCAUAAGUCAAAAAAUGGGUGGAAAAAGCGUAAACUUUUACGUGUUUAUCAUUUUCCACAUGAAUGCUCAUUUAAAUGCUAAACCCAACCCACUUAUUUAUAUUUGAGUUGAUACGAUUAAAAUAAGGAGAGUGUAUGAUGGAUUUCUAGAGUAUGGGCCGUACGGUGGUUGGGAAAAAGAAGAGGCGAAGAAGAUAAUUUAUAAUUAACACUAUUUAUAUGUUAAUACAUAAUAAUUGUUUUGAUGAUAUUUUAAUUUGAUCAUUGUUGAAAAUUGAAUUUAAAAUAUUUUGGACUUUAUAUGCAAUGGGCCUUAAUCAUGAGAAGUACCUAAUUUUAUAUAUAUGGGGCCACCUUCUAUUAAUAUGUUUUAGAAAGAAUUAAUUAAUGCAAGUCAAUUGUUCAUAGCGAUAAUGACAUUGACUCUCCCCAACCUUUUCAUUAAUAAAUAAAAAUGCUAGAACAAGGACAACAAGAGUGCUAUCACUUUUGUAUGGAGUUGACUUAAGUACCAUCACAAUUUUUUUUCGCUCACUUAAGUGCCACAUCAGAGUAAAUCAAUUAUUUGAGUGUCAUUCCUAGUAAAUCAAUUAUUUGAGUAUCAUUCCUAGCAAAUCAUCCUACGUGGAUUUUUUUAAAUUAAUUUUCCAUUUUGAUGUGGAUUUUUUUAUUCUUGAAUUUUUUUAUUAACUGUCCACGUCAAUGCUAUCCUUAGGAUAACCAACAUCCACGUUAGAUUUUCCAGUGAGGCGGUUUGCCAAUGACACUUAAUUAAUCAAUUUUUACAAUUUAUGGCACCCAAGUGAAAAAAAAAAAAAGAAAGUUAUGGCACUCAAGUGAAUUUCGUACGCAAGUUAUGACACUCGUAAUAUACUUACCCUAGAUUCUAGCUAUGUAGACCUCACAUGCAGUUUUGAAGGCUUACAUUUGCAGCCAUUGGAUUACAACCAUUUGAAAACCGGUAACAAUGACACAAUAGCAAUCCAAUGGGUAUAAAUAUUAGGGGUAUGAUAGCCUAACCCCAUAAUUUAGAUCGUUUGCACUAAUACAGUUCUUUUUGCUUCUUGUCUUGUAAUUAUUUACCUGUUUUGGCGGUCUGGGUUAGGUUCCAUUUAAUGCAUGUAAUAAAUUUUCCGAAUAGUUCCCACGACCAAAAUAUAUAGGACAGCAGACCAUGGCUCUUCCUUCUUCUUCCUCUAAUUCCAUACCUGUGCAGCAAGAAGACCAAGGGAUUCAUCAACGUAGAAAUGAGUUCUUGCUUCACCAUCUCCCUCUCUCUCCUCUUCUUCUUCAUAAAUUUUGUAGGUCCUGAAUCAGCACCUACGUUUCUACGGCAUUACUGCCCAAAUGCCACACUCUUCACUCCCAACUCCAUCUACCAAUCCAACCUCAACACCCUCCUCUCUUCUCUCUCCUCUGCCGCCACCGACAGCGCUGACGGCUUUGCCAAUGCUGUCGUCGGCCAAAAUCCUCCCGACCAGGUCUACGGGCUCUUCCUCUGCCGCGGUGACGUCGACUCCGCCACGUGCAGCAACUGCGUGGCCACUGGAAAACAGGAUAUCCUCCAAAGAUCCCCCAACCGGCGAGUCUCCAUGAUCUGGUAUGAUGAGUGUAUGUUGAGGUACUUCGAUGGCUCCAUCCACUCAGUCAUGGAACAAAUGCCUUCUAUCACGAUGUACCACACCAGGAAAAUCACCAAUCCAACCCACUUCAUGCAAGUCCUGAGAGAGACCAUGGACGACAUCACUGCGAGGGCUUCAGUCGGCAAUUCGGGGAAGAAACUUGCCGUUGCGGAGGCAAGCUUUACGAGUUUGCAGAAGCUGUACACGCUCGCACAGUGCACACCGGACUUGACGGUGUUGGAGUGCAACACGUGCCUCCGGGCAACAAUCGCGGGUCUUCCACGGGGGAAGCAAGGUGGGAGGUUGUUCACUCCGAGCUGCAGCAUGAGGUUCGAGCUGUACCCAUUUUACAAUGCCUCGGCCAUGGCGGUGCUGGUGCCUCCCCCGUCCUUCCUUCGUUCUCCCCCUGCUCCCGUGACCAGACGUAAAGGUACAUGUUUGUUUUUGAUAUUUGUCCUCUGUUAAGACAGAAAGAUCUGUCCAAUUUUAUUUUAUUUUUCCAGCGAACUGCUUAUCCUACUUUAUAGUUCGAAUAUGUGGAAUGAACCUUUUAAUGAAAAGGGAAGAAAACAUCAUAAGUGCCAUAAUCCUUAUACAUGGUGCUAUAAAUGUUUAAUUGAUCACUUAAGUAUCAUAAAUUUGAAGGAAAUUUACUUAAGUGACAGCAACGAUUUCAUUAAUCAAAAUUCCAACAUAUCAAUAAUUUAAUAUAAAAUUAUCAGAUACAACUCACUAGGGAAAUGAUGUUAUCAAAAGCAUGCAGAAAUGAGUCAGUAGUCCUUUCGUACCCCAAAUUGAUGAAGUGGGGCUUAUUGAACUCAAAUCCUAACCCUAUCCCCAAGUUAGGUCCAACAGUGGCCAUGUGUGAUAGGGUAUGCAGUGGGCUCGUGUCGAUGUCUUUCUUCUCAAUUUCUUGAGCAAUCAGUUGCUUGUCAAUUUGGUGCAUAGAAAGGGUUAAAUGACAUCAUUUCUACACACUUUUGAUGAUAUUACUUAUCCAUAGAGGUGUCAAAAUGGGUCAUUGACCCAUUUAUAGUUAAAUGGGUCGUUAAUGGAUCAAACCUUAUUUCCCAAAGUAUCCAUGAUAGGUUUUAAAAAUAAAGAGAUUAAAACAUAUGGGUCUUAAAUGGGUCUACUCUCAGACCCAUUUAUGACCCAUUUAUCAACCCAUUUAAAAAGAACCCAUUUACAUGGAGACUCUCUCUUUUCUUUUUAACUUUAAAAAUAUUUUUUUUAUAAAAACCGAAAUUAUAAUUAUUUUUAAUUAUAAUUUUCUUUUCUUUUCUUUUCUUUUUUCUUCUUUUNNNNNNNNNNNNNNNNNNNNNNNNNNNNNNNNNNNNNNNNNNNNNNNNNNNNNNNNNNNNNNNNNNNNNNNNNNNNNNNNNNNNNNNNNNNNNNNNNNNNGGCUCAAGGCUCGCCAAUUUUGGCAAGCUCGAGGCUCGCCUGUGGUCGGCCAUUGACUGUCAUUGUGACCGGCGAUUUGGCAAAGAAGAAGAAGAGAGAACAGAGAAAAAAGAAAAAGAAAAUUAAAAAUUAUAUUUUAAAAAUAAUUAAAAAUUUAAUUUUAAAAAAUAAAAAAAUUAGAAUUCAAUUUUUUAAAAUAAUUAUUUUAAAAAUUAUAAAAAUCGUCCAUGAAAUUUGUGUUAUAUGAUUUUUUUAUUUUUUUAUAUAAAAAUAUUUUAGCAAUACCAUUUUUUUUAGUAUAUAUAUAAGAAAUAAGCUUUUUUAAGUUUAGUUGAAUGAGUCGGGUAUGGGUCGGAAAAUUUACAUUAGGCAUAAAUUGGUCAUAAAUGAGUUAAUGGGUCAAUUUGGGUCGGAUCAUUAAUGACCCGACCCACCCGUUUAACACCUCUACUUAUCCAGCAAGCCACUUCACAUAAUUUUAUAUCAAAUUAAUCCUAUGUCAAAUUUUUUGACAAAAGAAAUUACCGGAAUCACUUAAACGAAUAUCUUUUAAAAUAUUAUUACAUUCAAACGAUUGAUUGAAAAGUUAUGAUAUGUAUAAUAUCAUUUUCCCUCUUUCUAAUAAUACCUCUUGUUGAGAUGAGCCUAUGAUAAUCAAUAGGUCAUUUUCAAGUUAAACGAUUUUAGAGAGAGAGAGAGAGAGAGAGAGAGAGAGAGAGAGAGAGAGUUAAAGUUACUAAUUUGAAAAUAUAAUUCCACAAGAACCUUACUUUGAUUAAAAACGAAUGGGCAAAAUUUGUGAACUAUCAACCCCAUCCCAAAUCUAAGCAUCUUGAAUAUGGCAGAACCAAUUCAAGAGAAUAACAAAUUUGACAUGGUAACCCAUGGCCCUGAGUGCUACUGGCCUCAAAGGGAUAAUCUCUGAUAUCACAUCCGAAAUUCCAGUGCCCAUGGGAAGAAAGUUUUUUUUUUUUUUUUUUUUUGGAGCAAACCCAUGGGAAGAAAGUUACAUUACCACAAAUUGGAAGGAUUGCCAUUGAAGUGGCCCUUCAGAAUCAGCAGCAGUCCCACCUCUAGCGCCUUCGCUCCGAGGGUAUCCUUUGGUGGCACCCACAGGAUAAAGACUCACCACUAUUGGACCUAAUUUGGGUUUAGGGUUUAAGUUGAAUUUAGCCUUAAUUUUGUCAAUUUGGGUCAAGGAAUGGCUAAAUGAUACUGUUUAUGGACACUCUAGAAGACAUUAUUUCCCUAGUGUGCCACGUCAAAUGGUUUUAUAUUAAAUUGAAGUCAUGUUAGAUGUUUUGGCAAUACUCAUAUAAACUUGACAUUCUCAAGUGAUCGACUUAAAAUUUACGAUGCCAAGGUAAGUGUGAUACAAAAAUUAUAGUACCGAUCAUGUCAUCAUUACAAUUCCGUCUCUAUCCAUUUUGAUAUGCUUAUAAGAGGUGAAGUUUCCCGAGGCAUUUUUUCACAUAUACUUUGUUGAAUCAGUUCCAAAUAAUUCUAAUGACUCUGCACUUGUGUUCUUUGCUUGUCUUCUCCCUCCCUCAAGCACUUCAAAGCAGCACAAUUGACAGCAUAACUGCAUCAAGUCCACUGGUUCAGAACCAAACCCUUGUCUCUAGUAGUCAAAUCUUUGAGCUCGGGUUCUUCACGCCUAAAGGAUCAGCAAAGCAGUACGUAGGAAUAUGGUACAAGAAGAUGGCUCCCUCCAGAGUCGUCUGGGUGGCCAACAGGGACAAGCCACUCGGACAUACAGAUCAAUCUGCUAGUUUAAUAAUUGGGGAAGAUGGAAAUCUGAAGCUUCUUGAUGGGCGACAAAACACUGUGGUCUACUAAUGUCAUGGCAAAGUCGAAUUAUUCUGAAGCACUACUUUCGGACUUUGGAAACUUUGUUCUUCAAGACAGGAACGAGAAUAUAAUGUGGGAAAGCUUUGAUGAGCCAACCAACACUCUCUUGCCAAACAUGAAGAUUGGAGUAAACGUGAAAACAGGAAAGAAACUAAACUUGACUUCCUGGAAAGGCGAAGAUGAUCCCUCGUUCGGAAGCUUUGUCAUGGGAGUGACAUUGGAGAAACCACCUCAGCUUUUCACUUGGAAUGGAUCAAGUCCUUACUGGAGAAGUGGACAGUGGGAAAAAACGAAGUUCAUCGGAAUACCGACGAUGACCAACACAUACUACGAUAUCCGGCAAGAUAACAUCCGGGGAACCUCAUAUUUUUACCUCAAUAAUUACAACAACUCCAUCUUUGGAUAUACUUUCAUCUCUUCUGAAGGAUCUGUAAAGUCGGCUUUUUGGGCCAAUGGGUGGUUAACAUCCUGGAAGGCACCGGCACCAACUAACCCUUGUGAAAUUUAUGGAAUAUGUGGCCCCUUCGGAGUUUGCAACUCGUUUAGUUCACCUAUGUGCAGAUGCUUAAAAGGUUUUAAACCAAGAUCAAAUGAAAAAUGGAACAGAGGAAACUGGACCAGAGGGUGCCUUAGGGAAAUGGAAUUGAAUUGUCAGAAAUCUGCAAGCGCAGCAGCUUCAACAACUGUGGAAAAAGAUAUGUUCUGGCAAAUGAGACAAAUAAAAUUGCCUGAUUCCGCUGAUUAUUUGUUGAUAGAUAAUGUGGAAGGAUGUCAAAGUUGGUGCCUAGAAAAUUGCUCGUGCUUGGGCUUUUCUUAUGUGAAUGCUAUAGGAUGUAUGGCUUGGAGUAAAGACCUCCUAGAUACUCAGCAAUUCUCCACAGAUGGCGAAGAUCUAUUUAUUCGACUAGCGGAUGCGAGUGUGGGUGCAGAUACAGGUUGAAAUGGUUGACUUAAUAUGCCUUUGGUUUUGCACUUCUAUGCUUCUUAUAAUAUAUUUUCUAUGGUUCAGGUGUACCUAUGCGGACAAAACUUAUCAUCAGCCUAAGUACUAUUUCUGGCAUCAUCUUAUUUGGAGCUGGCAUUUCAGUCUGUGGUCUUUCAAAAUGGAGAGGUAAUAAAAGAUGUACGGUUUGCUGCUUUCUUAAGGGUGAUUUUGCGCUAACCGCAAUAUAAGAAUUUUGAAUUAUUGGUGAAACCACGGCUUCAGAAGCUAAGCAGUUAGUAGUAUAGAGACACUACUCUGCUACUGAUGUUCUCAUGCUCAUCUUGAGUUGUUUUCGUUCUAUCUGUAAAAUGCAGGGAAGUUUAGGAAAAUGACAAUCCCAAGGCUCCUUAGGUCAGAAGAACCACUAAGGGAAACUUCUUGGAAAGAGCAAAUGAAGGAAGAUGAUGCAUCGCAAUUGGUCGUUUAUGAUUUUGAUAGCAUACGCCUCGCGACAGACAACUUCAACUUGAAAAACAAACUUGGGCAGGGAGGGCUUGGCCCGGUUUAUAAGGUAAAAGAAAAGCCUUCUCUGAGGGAAAUAAGGAGAUUAUCCAAGAUCUGAUAGCGCUGUUCAUUUUGAAACAGGGAAAACUGAACAAUGGUAAGGAGAUAGCAGCAAAGAGACUUUCGAGCAGCUCAAGCCAAGGCAUAGCAGAGUUCAAGAAUGAGAUCCUUCUAAUAUCCAAACUUCAACAUCAAAAUCUAGUGAGACUCCUCGGUUGCUGUAUUGAAGGAGAAGAAAAGAUUCUAGUGUAUGAGUACUUGCCCAACAAGAGCUUGGACACCUUCCUUUUUGGUUAGUCUCACUCUUUGAAGAACUUAUUCCUGCUUUCAACAAAAUCCGGUAUUGAAACUAGAUACUUCUUCUGUUUGCUACCUUGUUCAGAUUCAAGAGAGAAGGCAAAACUUAGCUGGAGUGUACGCUUCCGCAUUAUCCAGGGGGUCGCAAGAGGGCUGCUUUACCUCCACUGCGAUUCUUGCCUUAGAGUCAUACAUCGGGAUUUGAAAGUAAGCAACAUUCUUUUGGAUGAAAAGAUGAAUCCCAAGAUUUCAGAUUUUGGGCUGUCACGGAUGUUUGAAGGCACUCAAGUUUUGGUAAAUACUCACAAAGUUGUGGGGACACUGUAAGCUUUCUAUCAUCACUCUUAGGAGUACUUACUCAUGAGGCAAUAUAUCACCUUAGAAAGCAGAUUAGCAGCAUAAUGCUCUCACCUUUUUCUUCAUACAUGUUUUGCUAUUAACGAGAAAACUCUUCCAUGUACAUUCGAUGGUUGCAAUAUGUCAGUUCGCUCCGAGGUAAUUAUAGACUAGCGCCGCAAUGCAAAUGCUAAAAUAUAUGAGAAAUACAUUACUCAUGAAGUUGGGUGUUCAUCACCCUCCAAUUUUCUCAUCUCUCAUGUCAUCGUCCUUUAGUCUGUGAUUUUUUGGUUUGAACUAUACUUCAGGAACCCUCUACUAAUAUAAUUUUGUCUAAAGUGGCUACAUGUCUCCAGAGUAUGCCAUGGGUGGGAUAUUUUCUGAGAAAUCUGAUGUUUAUAGCUUUGGAGUACUGCUAUUGGAGAUUAUCAGCGGCAAGAAGAACACAAGUUUAGAUUACCCAGGGCAGCAUCUCAAUCUCCUUGCUUUUGUAAGUGCAAGAUCUAACCUCAAACUAGUAUACCUCCAUUUCAGUUUCCAACCAUCGGUAGCCCUUGAAACACUCUAACAAUCGACUAGUGGUCAUAGGCUUGGCACUUGUGGUGUGAAGGCAGAGGAUUGGACCUAAUAGAUGAAGCCAUUGCUAAUGCAUUUUCGGUGUCAGAAGUAAUGAGAUGCAUUCAGUUAGGGCUUCUCUGUACGCAAGACCAUGCCACAGAUAGACCCAACAUGUUGGCCGUGGUUCUAAUGCUGAAUGGGGAGUCCAAUCUUUCACAGCCAAAGCAACCGACAUAUACAUUUUCAAGCUCGCUGGCCCACGAAGUCCCAUCACAAGAAGAAAGCAUCCGGUCCAUGAAUACCAUCACCA
rnacentral:lncRNA from 1 species